rnacentral:lncRNA from 1 species
UGGAUGUUGAAGGAUGUACAAGGUUGCGUGAAAUUCACCAGUCUUUGCUACGUCACAAUAAGCUGAUCUUGUUGAAUUUGAAAGGUUGUACAAGUCUUACAACUCUUCCGGGUGAGAUAUUUAUGAAAUCGCUUAAAACACUUGUUCUUUCUGGUUGCUUGAAAUUGAGGAAACUUCCACGCAUUGUCGGAAGUAUGGAGUGUCUACGGGAACUUCUUUUGGAUGAAACUGAUAUCAAAAAACUGCCUUUAUCUAUUGAGCUUCUAUCCAAACUUGUCUUGUUGAAUUUGAAGGAUUGCAGAAAUCUAGAGACUCUUCCAAUUACUGUAAGCAGCUUAAAAUGUCUAAGAACUCUAAAGCUCUCUGGUUGCUCGAAAAUAGUGAAAUUUCCAGAGACUGUGAUAAGUGUGGAAGAUCUGUCAGAGCUCUUUUUAGAUGGAACUUCUAUCACAGAAGUGCCAUCAUCUAUAGAGCUUUUGACCAAACUUCAAUGGUUGAAUUUGAAUGACUGCAGAAGUCUCGUGAGACUUCCUAGCAGUAUAAAUGGUUUGAAAUCCCUCAAAACUUUGAAUCUCUCAGGCUGCUUCAAACUCGAAAAUGUGCCUGAGACGCUUGGGCAAGUAGAAAGUCUGGAAGAACUUGAUAUAAGUGGUACAGCUAUAAGGCAACCUCCAUCGUCGAUUUUUCUUAUGAAGAAUCUUAAAGAACUAUCUUGUCGUGGGUGCAAAGGAUCACCAUCAUCUGCAUCAUGGUUUCUGCGCUUCCCUGUCAAUUUGAUACGAAGGAGUUCAGAUCCGGUGGCUUUGAGUUUGCCGUCUUCUCUGUCAGGUUUGUGUAGUUUAACGAAAUUGGAUAUCAGUUACUGUGAUCUAGGGGAAGGAGCAAUCCCAAGUAGUAUUGGCGACUUAUGCUCAUUAGAAAAGUUACAUCUGAGUGGAAACAGUUUUGUUUCGCUACCGGCAAGCAUCUACCGUCUUUCUAAUCUUCAGGGGAUUAAAUUAGAGGAAUGCAAAAUGCUUCAAAAUCUGCCUCGACUUCCAGCCAGUAUACGUUGGAUUUCGUUAGACGGUUGUGUUUCGUUGGAAACAUUAUCAGAUGUAUUAAAUUUAAACGAGCAUCGACUCCCGCACUUAGGCCUUCAUUGUGUGGAUUGCUCGAAAUUGGCUGGCAACUAUGAUUUGGCGCUUUCGCUGCUAAAAGAGUACAUUAAAAAUUCUGAGGUCAGUCUCUCACUCUCACCUGUGCUAACAUUAUGCCUAAAACUGAUGCAAUACAUGUUAUGUCUUUUUAUUUUAUUUAUUUACUCACUUUUUUUUUUGUGGGGUUGCAGAAUAUGUCAUUGUCGGACAAGUACAUUAAACUGAGAGAGGUCAGUUUCUUACACUGUCUCUCACCUGUUGCUAAAAUCAUGCCUAAAAAUUAUGCAUUGGUUUGGCUUUCUAAUAUAUAUAUAUAUAUAUAUAUUUGUGGGGUUUAGCAUUGUUGGAGAGGUUUUAGCAUUGUUGUUCCUGGAAGUGAAAUCCCAGAGUGGUUCGAGUAUCAGAAUAAUGAGUGAUAUGCUAUAAGGCAACCUCCAAAGACGUAUAAGAAUAGUAAGCUUGUGGGAUAUGCUAUGUGCUGUGUUUUUCAUGUCCCUAAAUAUUCACUUCCUUAUUAUCAUCCGAACUUUCCAUAUCCCGUACAUUAUCUGUGUGGCUGGCAUACCGACUGGUAUGGUUAUGGAAUUUCGUUUGGAAAGCAAUUCGGUCAGGCUGUGUCGGACCAUCUUUGGCUAUACUACCUGAAUAGGGAAGAGGUGUGGCGAUACUACCAUAAUAUUUAUAAAGUGAAAUUUUCUUCGCCGUCGGUAUUGGUGCUGAAGAGGUGUGGUGUCCAUCCAAUUUAUGUGCAUCAAGGGGAUAAGUUCAACCAAACAACUGAUCCGGUUUGGAAUUUGAACGAAUUUGGUCACGAUUGUUCAGGAUCAACAUCCUUUACGCGUAGCCUUAAUGAUGACUUAGACAGGGCAGAAGGCAGUGGAAGUUGCUGCGGGGAUGAUGCAGGAUCAACAACGUCGUCUGAGCGAAGCUUUCUAAAGCGAAGUCUUGAAGAAUAUGUUGGGGCGGCUGAAGCUAGUGGAAGUGGCUGCUGUAAUGAUGAUGAGGAACCACAACCUAAAAGAUUUAGACAACUUGAAUGAAGGGCACAUAUUUUAUUUUUCUCUGCAGAUCGCAUUUCAUUUACUUUCUUUGUAUUUAUUUAUUGUAUCUGUUCUUGUUACUUAUUUCCCUGUUAAAUUACCAGAAAAUGCCUGGCUUGGGUCAAACAGUUGGACAGAUGUUUUAUUACUCUGUUUUUCCUGCAAAAGAUGCCGUACAUAGAUGCGGUGAGCGCGAGUUGUUUGGUAUACUUGAAGGGGCUCGGGACCACAAUGACCAAAUUAUUUAAUGUUGUGUGUUAAAUAUUAAAAUAUGCGGAUAGCUUAUCACUUUUGAGACCUAAAAGUAUUUAUUUAAUGUUAGGGUGAUUGAAAAAAAAUUGACGAAUUACCAUUAAACAAGCAACAAAAUAACAAAUUCUUUGAAAAGAAAUUAUAUAAUAGAAAGAAGAAAUUCUCACCCGAAAACAGUUUGCAGGCAACCUACCAUUGAUAUGAACAAUCAGUUAUAAAAUUAAGCAAAUAUAAAACGGAUACUCAAAAAUUCUUAUAAAAUUUGUUUUCUUCUUUUAGUAGUUUGAGGAAUGAAGAUGGUAUCUUUUUUUUUUUUUUUUUGUGUUUUAAGGGAAGACGGUACCUAGAUAUUGAUAAAAGAAAAAUCCUUUAGAGUCGGGAUAAAAGUCUUACCAUCAAUAAUAGGAGUUAAAUAUGAGAAUCAUCACCCUUAAUUUAAGUUUAAAAGGUAAGUAAUUAUGCAACAAGUCAUUUAGAAGUUGUGGUACUUUUUCAUACUUUAAAUUAUUUUUGUCUAGUCAAUUAAAUAGAUAUUUUUUAAGUCGCCAAAAAAAUAAAAAAAUAUUUUGAAAUUAAAAAUGAUAGGUGCUAUCUAUAGUUUUACAAUUUUGCAGUUAGUGGUAGAAAUAUAAUAGCAUUGUAACAAAUAUAAUUAGCUAGUAAUAUUAUUUCAACAAUACUUUAUAUAAAGAUAUUCCAUAAGGUCUUAUAGCAAUUUAUAUCAUAAUUAAAUGUUGUAUGAAUUUAAUUGUAAAACCAUUAGUACUUGAACAAUAAUGAUUAUAGAAGGCAUUGUAAUAAGUUAUUUAAUACACAUUAUUAACAAUACUAGAUGAAUCUGAAACAAAUGAGAAAUAUUUUCAUCCAUAACUAGAAUUGAAAAAUGUAUGUGUCUAUAUAAUUAGACAAUAGCUUGGAUAUAUAUUUUUAGAGUUAAAUUAGAAAAAAGGACACCCAGAAUCCCAGAUAUCUCUAACUCUGUAACUCCUUUCUUUGAAAACCAAGAAAAAAAAAAAUGUUCCAGUUUGCCUUUAGCCUCUCCUCCCAAGUUGUCGGGCAUGGACUUGCUUUCGCUUCCGAAAGGAAAAAAUAAAAUAAAUAUAUGUAUAUUAAAAUAUUUUUAAUCUUCAAAAAAUAUUUUAAUACUGUACAGUAUUAAAUUAUAUUGAAUUAAAUUUUAUAAUGGAUAUAAACAGAAUAUUAAAAUAAAUAUAUAAAGAUUCGAAUUAUUUUAAAUUUAUAUAAAAUAAUUUAAAUAUUAUCGAUACAUGAGAUUUUUUUAUUAGUUGUAAAAUCUAUUUAACCCAAAUAUUUAUUUUAAAAAAUUUAUAUAAAAUAAUUUUAAUAUUAUCAAUAAAAAGAUAUUAUUAAAAUAAUAUUAUAAUUUACAUUUUAAAAAUUAUUUUAUACAUAUUACAAAUAUUCCAUUAUUUUUAGUCUAUUAGACAAAAUAAACUACUUAAAGUAUAUUUGUAUUUAUUAAAAAUAUUUUAACGUUAAUUUUUUUUAGUUACUACCUAUGAAGGGUAUUAUAGCCAAAAGGGAGUUUAGGUAUCAUUUUCCUUUUAAGUUAUUUUAUCUUAAAUUUUUAAUACAAAAUUGAAAUUAUUGAUUUCAUGCAAAUCAAUUACUAUGGUGGAUGAUUUAACAUCGUAAAAUUUUACAUUGAUUUUCAAUAUCAACCAUUAGAUUGAGAGAGAUUAAUGGCUCAUUUUUUGCGUCAAAAUUUAAGUUAAAAUAUCCCAAACCAUGCUUUUAUAACGAGAAUAUAAAAUAAAUAGAUAAUAUUUUUCCUGUUCAUUCCCAUGAAUAUUAUUGGAGGUAAUAUUUACUUAUUAUAUUAAUUACCAUCAUAAAAGCAAUCAGCCUUUUAGUGACAUAAAAUUUUGUAACCACAAUCAAUGAAUAUUAACAAAACAAUAUUUCAUGAUUCAUAAAUUAUAACUAAUUAAGAAUAUAUGUUAAUUUCAAAUUUAUGAAAUCAACAAAGUGACAUUGGAAAAUUAAAUGAAAAUAGGCUUGUAAAACUUAAAUUUAUAUUCCUACCAUGUAAAAGUAUUCACUGUAACAUAAUCCCUAAUUUCAUGGUAUAUGUUGUGCUAAAUUGGUGUUAAAAAUAAUAUACACUUCAUGAUUAAUCACACAAUGGUCCUUAAUAAUAUACAAAAUAGUGAGCAUUAUGUUAAAUUUUAUUAAAGCGUGAAAAAGGUGAAGAAUGACAGAGGCAGCGGCCGUAGACGGUGGACGUGAGAUAGCUUCGGGUUUUGAUAUUUUGCUGACUUUUUCUUCUUUUUUUUUAAUGAAAGUAAUUGAUGAUGGAGGGAGGAUUUGUGUAUGGGGAAUGGUUGAUGGUCAGGAAAGCUCUGCCUAAUACAAAGAAAGACUCUGAUGCCACUUGACGCAUUGCAAAAGUGAUACUAAAUUUCAUUUUAAUGUACGUUCUUGAAAAUUCAAGAAAGAAGGUUAUCACGAAGAAGAAAAUAUAUCAAUUAAGAAAUAUUAAAUAUUAUUGAUGAGAAACUUAUAUGUUAUAAUGAACUAUCAGUAACAAGCCUAUAUAUACUAAGUAGCCAACUUAAUCUUAAUCCUUCUUAAAUAAGAGAAAUAAUCUAAAAUUCUAAUUAGAUUAGAAUUCCAAACAUGAUCGAAUAAGUUUAAAAAAUAAGAUAAAUUCUAAUAAAAUACUAAAUACCCAAAUAUUAUAAUUCCUAAUAAAUUCUAAUUUAUUUUAUCUAAUAUGCUUCCUAUAUUACUCCAUCGCUAUGUUGUCUGAAUCGAUGUCUCUUUUUAUCAAUAAAAAACGCUUACUCAUCAUCCUUUACUAAGGCCCCACUCAAUUGCUUGUCAAUUACUCCUUGAUCAGCAAGCAAGUUUUCAAAUUUCUCAAUGGUUGGUUGAGUUGGACAACCUUAGAUAGUUGUAACAAAGCUCUUAAGCUCAAGCCUCAAACCAUUGACAAUAAUUCUCUUUAUUCUAGAUUUAGAAAUUGUAGCAACAGAAUCCAACCCAUAAAUUUCACAACAUAGGGAUUUUAACUUGUUUAAGUACUCGUCAAUCGUCAUGUUUCAUUGUGAAAUUGAUAGUAGCUCAUUUUUCAGAAGUUGUAGCCAUAUGUUAUUCUUCUUUGAAAAACUCAUUGUAGAAGUAUCCCUAGUUUUCUUAGGUAUUUUAACAUUUUUUAUGUGUUGCAGCAUUUCUUCUUCAAUUGUAGUCUUGAUGGCGAACAUGGCCUUCUAGCUAUAAUGUUCCACUUCUUUAAAGUGGCAUCCUCAGUUGGUGGUUGCAUAUCGUUACCACAAACAAUCUCCCAGAGAUCUUGACCUUGUAAGCAGGACCCCAUCAAUGUUGCCCACGUAUUGUAAUUUUCCUUGUCGAGCUUUUUAAUUCUUCCAACUACUUGAAGGUCACCCAUCAUGUUUCCAAGACUUUAACAAUGCCAAGCUAGCUUGAUAUUCACUAACGAACUUGCAAAGUUCCAAACAAAGUACUCUAAAUAAAGAACUCCACUUCAAAUCUGAACCCAACUGCCUUUUACUCAAUAGAUUUUGACAAGCCCAUUCCGUUAGAUUAAGAGAAAAGAAUUGAUGGCAUUGCGCCACCGGGAGGAAUUGGUUCCAAAGUCUUUCUAAAAAUUGUACGAUCAGCAAUCCUUAGAAAAAAGUGAUAAACUUAUUGUAAAUUGUAAAUGGUACUUGAAGAGGAUAUGUAUUUUCGCUUGUUGAGGUUCUUAUUGAAUUUGCAUAGAUUUUACUUGAAUAGCACGGGCGCCUUCUAAGUUCGAGUUAUUCACGUUGCAAACCCUAUUUGGGAUUACAGUUGAGAUGUUAUAAAUAAAUUAUUUUAUAAGUUUUGACAAUAAUAGUGCUUGGUAAAUAUUUUAAAAGUGGCUUGUUUUAUAAUUUUCACUACUUUGAUAACAAUUUUAAAAAGUAGGUGCUAGAUAGGAGUUGCAUUUUACAAGUAGUUUAUUAGAAAAGCCGUUAACCUUUUAAAGUUUUUAUUAUAAACUAAAUAUUUUGACAAAACGAUAAUUAUAUCAUAUUUUUCAAUAAACCCUGAUAUAUAUAUAUAUAUAUAUAAGACUAUUUAAACUUAUAUCUACUUUGAUUAUUAUAUACAUUGAAACAACACUAUCAUAACAAAAUUUAUCGAAUUGAUAUACUUUAUUUUUCAAAUUCACAACGACAUAAUUUACGAAAUAUUGAAUUAUUUUUUAAUUAACAAUUUAUUUUAACCGCAUAGGGAAUAGGGAUGGCAAUGGAUUGGAUUUGAUCCAAGAUCCAUGUGAUCCAAAUCCAAUCAGAUCGGAUUUGGAUCGGUUUAAAAUGGAUUUGGAUCGGAUUUGGAUAUCGAUGUGCGGAUCUAAGACGGAUCUGGAGCGGAUAUGGAUCUAUCUUAAUAUCUAAAUCCAUAUCCAUAUCCACUCAUCUUUUAAUUUAAUUUUAUUUUAAAAGUUUCUUAAUAAUUGUGGAAUGAUAAUGAUAAUAAAUUUUAUUCAUAGCAUAUUAGUAGUAUUUACCAUGAAUUUAAACUCUUAAAACUUAAAGGUUAGUUUUGUAAAUUUAAAGGUCAGCCAGCCUCAAAGCAUGUACAUGCAAUAUUCAAAUUGCAAUCCAAGUAAUAUAACCUGGUAAUUUAUUUUAUCAUAUUGGCCUAAUAAUUUUUAAGGAAUAUAGUUAUUCAUAUAUUUAGUCAAAUAUGGUCAUAAUAAAAAUAAUAAAUGACUGAAUAUAAAUCAUAUUUAAUUUAUAUGUCAUUAUCUAAUGUUGUAGGAAUGAUGGUAGGUGUAUCGUGGAUACUAGAAUGACGAAGGAGACAAUAGAAUAUUAGAUUGAUCUUACUCCUGCAAUUACUUCUGAAUGAUAUUUUAUUAUCUUUCUUAUUUGUUGUUUUGGUGUAGAAGUAUAAGCUACAAUAUUUAUUAUAUUUUUGAGAAAAAUUAUAUAAUUUAUUUGUUAUCAAUACAUUUUAGCCUCCAAUUUUCAAUCUAAAAAAUUAUUACUUUUUUAUUACGGAAUUUUAGAAUUCAUGACGGAUCUAGAGCAGAUUUGGAUUUUAAUAUUUUUUUGGAUUUGGAGCAGAUAUAGAUAUUUAUUUCUUUUUUGGAUCUGGAUAUGGAGCGAAAAAUAUGGAUUCAUAACGGAUCUAGAGCAGAUACGGAUCUUAAUUUUUAUUAUGGAUUUGGAUCUGGAGCAGAGUAGAUCCAACCCAUAUCUGCCCCAUUGCCAUCCCUAAUAGGGAAAAUAACUUACCAUUUUAGUUACCGCAAUUUGGUCAUAGCACCUAUUUUCAUGUGCCAUGAUCAAUGAUCAUAUCACGUAUUUGACCAAAAAUAUUUUCGAUAAACAAUUAUAUUGUUUAUGUUGUCUUCACUGUGAGCUAAAGCUUCAUCAAGUACCCUUCCCAACCCUUUUAAUCUUUCAUCUUGAUGUUGGAAUCUUGUUGGCCUUUGCGGCCUUGUUGAAUUUAACCUCGCUUGUUUAAUUUGGGUUUUCUGACUUUGGUUGAGCCUUGUUGAUUCUUUUCUGCGGAGUUGGAAUAUUGCCCACCCCCAAUCUUUUCAUUAAACUUUUUUUUUUCAAACCCAACUUCUACAUUCGAAUUUUAAAAAGUAUGUGUUAAUAAAAAAACAUUAUGUUAUUUUAUUAUUGUUAAAAUUCAAAGUAAUAGUCUUUUUUUUCAACUACACAUAAAUUAAAAAAUUGUCUGCGUUCACUUGAAUGACAGAUAUUUUAAAUUAUAAUUUGAGUUAAAUUGUACAGAUUUGAUAAAAUGUUCUUGAGGAAUAAUUGUAUGAUUCCCAUGCUCUCAACAUGUUUGAUAAAAUGCCCAAGUAGGAACCAUGCCAUCCCAAUUCCGAGCUGAAGUGUUGAACAACGAGAUGAUGAUGAUACAUCUGCGGCGUCACCUCUACGAUUUCCCGCCCAAAAGCAAUCAAUCAACAAGGUCAAUUUCCUAAGCUGUUGAGUAUGAUUCAAUAAUAUAAAUUUAGAGUUGUGUGUAAUCAUAAAUUCUAUAACUUCUCAGGGGUGUGUUUUGGUCAGGAUCGGAGGUGAGAGGUGUGACAUCCAUCCAGUUUAUAUGGAGGAGUUUGACAAAACUACAAUCAAAUGGAAUCGCUUUACCACUUGUAAUCUGAAUGGAUCCCUCAAUUUUUUUUUUUUUUUUUUUUUGGCAUCAAAGAUGGUUGUAGCAACAAUUUCAAGGCGAAGCCUUAUUGCAUAUGUUGAGGUGAUGAGGAACCACAACCUCAAGGAUCCAUUUAGUGAACUCAAAUAAAGGGAGAAGCCUGCUUACUAUUCUCUGUAUAUUUCAGUAAGCAUGCAUCUUCAAUUUCAGUUGGCAAUUUUUAUUUUAUACAUGUUAAAUUACCACAAAACCAAAAUAUCAUCUCCAAAGUUGUUACCUUCCAUGAAUUGAAAAUGCUUUCAUGCUUGAUCAGAUUGUUUAAGUAUGCGUUCCUAAAAUAUACAAAAGUGCUCAGGAAAAUGGCACAGAAUAAUUAGUGUAUAAUAAAGUUUAUUUUUGGUAAUUUUUGAGAUGCAUAUGGUUUUAAAGUUCUCUUCAAAUAGCUGGACUUGCCGUAUACUAUAAUAUUGUUUACUAAGGCAUAACUAUCUUAUCCUUUUUUUUUUAUCUAUCAUUAAUAUUUACAUUUUUAUUAUUUCAUUAAUCUUAUUUAAAUUUACUUUGUAUUUGUAGAUAUAAUUUAAGAAUAUAAUAUUACUGUACUUACAUUUCCGUUUCGUAUAUAAUUUCCUGGAAGAUGCUCCAACAUCAGUUUUGUCGUUAUUAAAUAAACAAAAUAGGAAAAAAAAAAAGAUACAACAACUGAUGCUCCCAUUCACAAAGAACCAGAUAAUGUACAAGAGGCACUAGAUGACUCCAGACGGCUGCAAGCUAUGAAAGAAGAAUAUGAUGCUUUGAUUAAGAAUAAUACAUGGACAUUAGUUCCAAGACAGACAAGCUGGUCAUCACAUUGCUAACAAUAAAUGGGUGUGAAGGAUCAAGUAUAACAAAGUUGGAAGUGUAGCUAAGUAUAAAUUCAAGCUUAUUGCUAAAGAAUUUUAGCAAGUGGUAGGGGUGAAUUACUUUAAAACAUUUAGUCCAAGGGUUAAAUUAGCUAAUAUUAGAGUGGUGCUGAGCCUAGGAGUGAUGAACUAAUGGAAAAUAAGGCAAGUUAAUGUUAACAAUUCCUUUUUUAAUGGAGAGUUAACUGAGGAGGUACUCAUGUGUCAGCCGGAAGGCUUUAUUAAUGCUGAGAAACCUGAAUUUGUGUGCAAAUUGCACAAAUGUCUAUAUAGACUCAAACAAGUUCCUAGAGCUUAGUUUGAUAAGCUGAAAAGUUGUUUAUUGCAUUGGGGUUUUAUUACUACUAAUUUGGAUACCUCUCUUUUCAUCAGAAGAAACACUCAUUACAAGUCCAAGUACUAUAAAGUUAAAAAAGUUUUAUAACUCAGUUCAGUAAAGCAUUUGCCUUAAAAGACCUAGGAAUAUUAUCUUAUUUCCUUGGAAUUAAAGUGUUGUAAGAAGCACAUUGUGUGUAUUUGUCACAAAGAAAAUACAUCAGAGAUCUGUUGUUGAUGGGUGUCGAAGCCAACAAAAAUAAAUUCCUACUCUAAAUAAAUUGUGUAUAGUGAUUGAGCAGGGUCGUAUCCACAGAGAUCGGUAAUUAUUUAAAUCCUUUUGAAACGUAAAACGUAAAAUGGGGGAAUUGUUGACAAUAAUAAAAAUCAAAUUAAAAAUAACAAGAAUGCAAAUUAAAGUCGUAAUUCAAAUUGGAGAAAGCUCUGGUUGAAGGAAUUAACUCAGCUUGAUUCGAGUACUGAUCAUUGAUUCAAAUAUAGAUUAUUAUUACUCAUGAAUAGACCGGUUAUAGCUACUGAGACCCUCUAAUAGCCAAUCUCUCCUUAACUAGUCGAUAACCAAGGUACGACCGUUGGUUAUUUCCCUAAUCAAUAGACAACCCUAGAUACGAUCAUAGGAUUUAAUCAAUUGACAGCCUGAAAAACCAGAGAGACCCAAAUCCUAAUCAACACAUAUGAUGAUUCAUUUAAAUUAGAUUGUUUAUUCUCACAACACAACUCUCUGCUAUGUUAUUUGUCACAAACAUUAAAUUCUUCAUACGAUGAAUCCUUUAAUUGACAAUAGAUUAAGUUGAUAAUUAAAUAGUGGCCAAUUACCUAAUUAACAAACACAAUCAUGAAAAUAAUUCAGAGAAUAAACAAAUACCCAAAAAGUAAUAAAACAAUUAAAGCACAAGAAAGAUCUCACAGUAGUGAUGAAUCAAAGCUUUAUUAACCUUCAACCAGAAAAAUGGGUUUAGUUCCUCAUAGAGAGAAGAGAAAAAUUAGAUCUAGGGUUUCUUUUUCUCCAAUCUAAAUCCCCCCUUUUUCACAAUAGAUUCCUCCCUUAAAUACUCUCUCUCUCUUCUCUUUUAGAGUUCUAUUUAAAAUAAAAUACUAAUAUCUAAAAUAUUAAAUUCGUAAUUACAAAAAUAACCAAAAAUACAAAACACGUUAAACUAAAAACUGCAGGUCCGCAGUUGACAGCACGCGCCCACGCCUUAUCAAUAAAGUUCUUCUGCCGCUCAUAAUUUCUCCAAGAGAACAAUCAUCCUUAAAAAUCAUCUUGUAGCUCAAUUUUAUCACCAAUCAAUAGAAUUGCACCUACAAAAGUAAAACACAAGUAAAUCAUUAUUAUUAAGUGCAAAACAUUGAUAUUAAGGGAAGUAAAUAAUGCAAAACUAGUGCAUAAAUUGCACUCUAACAAAUUCCCCCACACCAAGAUGAUGCUUGUCCUCAAGCAUAUAACUCAAGAUUAAUCUCAAAUCUCCACUCAAUUCUCAUCUCAACUCAUCCAAAAACAAUUUUAAGCAAGCAUACCUCAAGAAAUUAAGUCGUUCAUCAUUCGAGAGACAAGGAUUUUAAAGCAUAGAAUUUCAUAAGAUAGAUUAAGAGCAUUCAACCACCAAGAAGAUCCAUUCAAAAUUCAAGUGCAACAAGAUUUAAUAACCCUCUCAUUGACUUCACUCCAUGCACUCAAAGUGUUUAGGGUGUCAUUUAUGCACUCAAAUCAAAUCAAAGAAUGCUAUUACCAUAAGCUUGCUUAUAUAUCACAUCUCAAUCCACAAAACAUGAAUAAAAUACAAAAAUCUAAGGGUCUUAAAAGGGUUGUAAUGGGGUUAAAUGAAAAAGAAAGGUUUACGAAAGAAAAAGAGAUCAAAACGAGAAGAAUGAACUCAUUGAAUGAACUUAUGAUAUCAAAAUGCUUAUUUCUACUCAAGUCACCAAGAAUGUAAACAUUUUUUUUUUUCGAUUUUUUUUUCUUUUUCUUUUUCUUUUUUUUUUCUUUUUUUUUCUUUUUUUUUUGUUUGUUUUUUUUUUCGAAUCAAACAAAAGAAACGAACCUUGCACAAUUGAAUUCAAGCAUAAUGCUUGUUGAUCUAAUUGAGAAACUUCAAUACAAGGUAGAAAAAGCAACAAAAUAUAUCCACACAAUGAGUCCAAAAAUCUCCUUAAAUUGAGGCUAAAAAAGAAGAAAAGUUGUUAAGUAGACGGAGAGAAUUAGAUGGGUAAUGGUUAAGGCUCAAACAAAGGUAGCAAAUAAAGGUCUUCGGGUAGAGAAAAAGGAAAAUGCGAGAAUAGAAAAAUGGUAAAUGGUUUGCCCUUAUCAUUUUAAUGCCUAAAAUCCCGUAAUGUGGCUUCAACAUGCAUAACAAAGCAAGUUCUAGAAUAAACAAACUAGGAUUGAUAUUCACAUAACAAAAAUAAUUAGAGCAAAAUGGUUGCUCAUAGGCUCAAAUCCUCACAAAGUUGGUAAAUUUGUCAUCAAAUCAUGUACACUCUUCAAAUGAAUCAACCAUCAAUAGUGGUGUAGAAUGAGAAGAAGGUAUGAGUGAGAUAUAAAAGGAAAGGUAAAAAAGGAUAAUAAGCGAGAAAGAUGUAUGUAGUAAAAAAAUGAAAGAUAAAAUGUGAGUGAUGAAAGAGUAUGAUAGGAAAAAAAAAUAGAUGUAAAUAAUUUGAGAUAGAUGGGAAAAAGGUAGUGAGAAAGAAAAGAAAAGAUAAAAUAAUAAUAUAUAAAGCAUACUAACUCCAAAAUCAUUUAAGGAUGAGUAGAGUGAAAAUAAAUGAGUAGAGUGAAAAUACUACUUCCAGACAUCAAUAAUGCAAAAAUCCCUCCCCCACACCAAGAACUUACAUUGUCCCCAAUGUAAGAUAAUCAAAGCUCACAUAAAAAUUAAAGCGUAAGGAUAAAAGUUUAAGGGCAAAAAGAAACUUCCCUGAAUUGUGAGUUUUGGUCCACAUAACGUCUAUGGGCUUGGCGGAAAUGGUGGGGUAAAUCCCACACUCUCGAAGUAUGCGGCCAAAUUCUGCUCCAUUUUGUUCAACUUGUGCUCCAUUUUCUCUAACUGAAUGCUCAAAGGUGGUGCGGAUGUAGAAGGAAUAGUUGGCGGGGCAACAGUGUCGUCGUCAAACUCGUCAUCAGAGGUAGCACCACUCCUAGCAUAAAGCUUCUUCGGAAGUUGAGUGGGUCCUGGUUCAGUAAACUGAAAUCUCCCCUCCUUGAAUUCGACCACACCUGUUCUUUCAAACACAGACAUAUCCAAAAAUUCCUUUUUGCAAGCAGGAUGCAAAUCAUUAUUGUCAGGAUCAAGCACACAUAGGUUUAUAGCUAACAGAGUAAUGUAUGGACCAAGAAAUAAAGUCCUAUACCGUUUAAGCACACUUUGAAAUUGAUCCGCUAACCAAAAACCUAAAUUAGGCCUCACAUCAUUUAACAUGCACCAGAUAAAAUAAAAUUCAGUUUUAGAGAAAAUUCCUGAGUGAUCUUUCUUGCCUAAAAAAUUAUAUGCUAAGAAUCGAUGCACACAUUUCAAAACAGGAUCACGUAAGAAAGAACUCUUUGAUUUACUCGGGUCAUAGGCAUUGUGAUCAACAGAUAAAUUACGCCAAAGACCAUAAGGCUCAAAAUUUUCACCAAAGUCACAAGUUGUUCCUAAAUAUUCAUCACUAGUAGAAUGAUCAUCAUCAAUGAAUCCUAAAGCUAGGUUAAAAUCCGUGAUAGAGUGUGAAAAAUUUCGUCCCAUUAACCUAAACUUAAUGACAUCCGGGGUAUGCAAAGUAAAAUCAUUCGGCAUAGUGAAUUGAAAAGUAGCAUAAAACUCCCUAAUCAACUCAACAUAACCCAAGCAAUCAACAUCAACAAACUUACGCAACCCAAUCUUAUCUAUCAAAGAAUCAAAAUUAUCUUUAACAUUUAAUUUUUCAAGAGUCGGGUAAUGAAUAUACUUAGCUGGAAGUAUUUUGCGCGUGGAAAUAUCUUUGUACCUCUCUUUCUCUUGUUGAGUCGCGAAUGCGAGGCACCCUCCGAGAUUGGAUUCCGCAAGUGGCAAAACACUCAUGCCUUUUCCAUGCUUCGAUCUUUGUCUCACGGCUUGGCGUGAAUCUGAAAUUAUGUUCCAUGGAACCGUAGUGGGAGCGGCAAUCUUAGAUUUCUUUGCGACGGGUGUCUUUUUCGACGACUUGGAAGUAGAUGCUUUCCUCUUCGGCAUUGUUACAAUAAUUGCACUCACGGAUUUCGAUUUACCCGGCUGGAAUACAGGGCGUAGGCUGGUUGUGUUGCGCUUGCUGCUCGGCUGGAGCUUGUUGCGCGAGUUGGGGCUGGUUGUGCGCGCUGCUGAGGCUUGCUUUGCGGGUGAUGGCUCAUUGCUGUGCGGGGCUGUUGCGCGAGUUUGGGCUGGUUGUGCGCGCUGCUGAGGCUUGCUUUGCGGGUGCUGGCUCGUUGCUGUGCGGGGCUGUUGCGCGCGAGAGCCAGUUCGCGUUGCGGGUCUGCGUUGCGGAUCUGUUGCGCUGCGCGCGCGGGACUGAUGUGCUGCGCUGAGGCUGAUUCGCGCUGCUGCUGGUUGCGGUGCGCGAUGCUGUGCGCGGCGGCUGGGGCUGAUUCGCGCUGCUCGCGCGGGCUGGGGAUGCUGGAGCUUGCUGCUGGUUCUGGGCGUACUCGUCUGCUGCUGCUGGUUGCGCGGUGAAGGCUGGAGCUGAUGCUGCUGUAAAACGAUAAUCAACAGUAAUUUUUGAAUUAGGGAUUUGUGAACAGUGAUUUUCGAUUUUUGGUUUUUUUUUUUUUUUUUUUUUUUUUUUUUUUUUUUUUUUUUUUAGUGAUGAAUCACUUUGAGACACUAAAAAUUUCAGAAGUACUUUUCUAAUAAGUACGUGGGCACGCCUUAUCAAAAAUUUUCUUCUGACCAAAAUAAGCAAACACAUUAAAUUUCAGAAGUACUUUUCUAAUAAGUAUGUGGGCACGCCUUAAAACUUUGAGACAUUAAAAAUUACAGAAGUACUUAUUAGCUAAGACGUGGGCACGCCUUAUCAACAAAGUUCUUCUGACCAAAAUAAGCAAACUCAUUUUUUUCAUUUUUUUUUUUAAAGAAGAUAAAACAAAAACCAAAAUAAACAAAUCAUUUGGGUUGCCUCCCAAAAAGCGCCUUUGUUUUAUGUCUUUGGCUAGACACAUUUAUGCAUCAAUCUCCAUAAUUGGGACUCUCGAGAGCCACAUCCUCCACAAUAUUCACCGAAAAACCUUCAUAAAAAGGUUUUAAGCGAUGACCAUUAACUUUAAAAACUUUGUCAGAGGUCGGACUCCGAAUCUCAACUGCACCAUGAGGAAAAACAUUAGUAACAAUAAAAGGUCCAACCCAGCAAGAACGUAAUUUACCCGGAAAAAGUUUAAGCUUAGAAUGAAAAAGAAGAACUUUUUGACCAACAGAGAACUCAUUUCUCAAAAUCAUUCUAUCAUGAAAUGUCUUCGUCUUUUCCUUGUAAAAAACUUCCUACGCUAUAGGGUUAAUAACAUCUACAGAAAAUACCGAAUGUUCCUCACUAGGAUAUUUCAUGGCAUCAUUCAUAUUGAAUUCUAUAACCUCUCCAUCAAACUCCAUAGUGAGAGUCCCUUUAUGUACAUCCAUUUUAGUCCUAGCAGUCUUAAGAAAAGGUCUUCUUAGCAAAAUUGGGACAGAAUUAGAGGAGUUAUCAUCUUCCAUAUCAAGUACAUAAAAAUCAGCAGGAAAAACCAACUCAUUAACUUGUACUAAGACAUCUUCUAAUACCCCAUCAGGAUAUGCAUUAGACCUAUCAGCUAGUUGAAUUAUCACGCCAGUUUCUUUUAAUGGACCAACAUUCAAAGAUGAAUAAAUGGAACGAGGCAUGACAUUAAUAGAAGCUCCUAGAUCUAACAAAGCCUUUUCAAUUCUAACACUACCAAUUUUACAAGGGAUAGUAAACAUACCUGGAUCCUUGCACUUAGGAGGUAGUUUCUUUUGGAGAACUGCUGAAACAUUCUCCCCCAUGUGAACUUUUUCAUCUCCUCUUAAUUUUCUCUUGGAGGUGCACAGUUCCUUAAGGACUUUAGCAUAUCGAGGUAUUUGUUUUAUAGCAUCUAAUAAAGGAAUAUUUACCUCAACCUUGCGAAAUGUCUCAAGGAUGUCUUUCUCUUGUUCCUCCUUCUUGGAUUUUGCAAACCGGCUUGGAAAAGGAGGAGGUAUCACAAUAGGUAGGGGUUUCGCUCUGGUGGGUUUUGCAUCUUGAGAUUGAGGCAUCAAUUCAUUCUUCUCAAGCUCAUCUUCUACAUGCUCUGUCACUUUCUUACUAGGCUCUUGCAACUCCUUCCCACUUCUAAGGAUGACAGCACUAACGUUUUGCUUUGGAUUCACCUCAGAUUGUGAAGGCAAUCUCCCUAGUACUUGAGACUCCAGACGGCUCACUGUAGUCGCCAAUUGACUCAUUUGGUUCUCCAAGUUCUGAAUGCUUGCUGUAGUUGCCUGUUGAAAUUGUUGAGUGUUAGUCGCAAGUGAUUUAACAAUUUCUUCAAGAGAUAUACCUGACUUGGAAUUAGGUAUUAUAUGUAUAAUACAAGUAGAAAUCUGCUGAUAUUUAUAGUUAGAAAUCGCUGAAAGGUUCUUUGCCUGUUUCCGCUUGUAGGGGCUGUGUUCAGAAACUGUGAGGGAGAAUAUUUGGGGAUUUCUCUUGUCCAUUACAUGUUGAGACGACUUUUGUUGCUGAACUGUUGGUUGUUAUCUUGGCUAUAGAGCAUGCUUCUGUUGGAGGUUGGACUAUGUUGUGGAUCAACUUAUUUUUGUUUGUUCUGCAAGAAUCAUAACGAGUGAGAAGAUGUCUGGAUUUCUUCACUAUUAAAAAACUACCAGUAUUUAUUUAAUAUGUUUAGACAAGUCACCAAGGUUACUAGUUUCCUGUCUUCAGUGUGUGCAUGUGUAUGUGUAUAUUUGUAUCAACAAUAAGAUUUUUACCAAAAUAGCGUUCAUAUUCAUCUCGUUAUUGCAACAACCAACUUGCCUACGAUUUUCCAAUAAAAUUUACAUGAAAAGAUUUUAUAGUAUAUUGUUUUGUGAAUGAUGUAGUAGAGCAGUGGAGAUCUAGAACUUGACAGGGAGAGGCGGUAGAAUCUGAUCAAUGAAUAUCUACAUACGAAGAGUUACAGACGAAUAUAGAGAAGAGUUACAAACAAUGUAGAUAUAUACAUGAAGAAUAUUAGCCUAGAGAUUAAUCAAACACAUGUUAUGACUUGAUCACUUCCAUUUUGUAGAUAUAUAUAAUGUAAUUUUUUGACACUACGUUACGUUCACGCCAACUUUAACUCACCAACACAAAUCUUUUCUUGUUCUGUUCAACCUGCAGGAUUGAAUCAGACUUUAUUAUGGAGAUUGUCAAUGGGAUAUCAAGUAAAAUUCCUAUAAAAUCAUAGACUCUUAAGGAGGUAGUAGGAAUAGAUUCACACUUGGAGAAGCUUAUCUAUCUUAUGGAUAAAGGGCCUAAUGAUGUUUGUAUGAUAGGGAUCUGUGGUGUGGGAGGUAUAGGUAAGGGGACUCUUGCAAGGGUUGUUUAUGACUUGAUCUUUCAUGAAUUUGUAGUAAGUAGUUUUCUGGCCAUUGUUAGAUAAACCUCAUACAAAGGCGGUCUGAUUUCCUAACAAAAUGGAAUGUAUAUAAUGUUAUCAACAUAACAGGAAGUAGGCUACGACACAAAAAGGUUCUUCGUGUUAUGGCUUACGGCAUUUACAAAGUUUAGCUAGAAAGUUCAGGCAGCAGGAUCAUCAUAACAUCAAGAGAUAAGCAUUGUUGACAACACAUGGAGUGGAUGAAUUGUAGGUCCUGAAGCAAAUACAUUGUGAUGAAGCUCUUAGACUCCCUUGUAUGACAACACAUCUGUGGCAUGAGAGGUAUAGGUAAGUGCAAUGCAUGUAUUUUGAGUUCAUUAUUCUAAAAGUCAAGAAAUGAAAUAUAAAAUUGCUAUCACUAUAUAAUGCAAAGUAAAACAUUUUAUGUAAUGCAGCCUACAUUUUAUUCAUUUUUUUAUGGUACACACAAAAUGUUUUCCUUUGCCCAAGCUAUCAAUUGUACAAUGUAAGCUUUCAAGGAGAUCCUUUGGUCAUAGUUACAGUGAUCCGAAGGGCAUGACUUUGAGCCCUGAGAAAGGUCUGCCCACAUUUGCUCAAUUCAACCUUUGAUCUUAUCUUCAAGACUAUUCCAGAUUAUUCUCAUCUCUUGCUGAAUCACUCUUAUGAGUCAUCUGACAUGCUUGACUCACAGAGGUGUUUCAUUGAGCAUUUUGCUCAUUUUAUCGAACGUUAGUUUUGCUCAACAUUCUAUGCUUUAAAUCUAUGCAUAAAUAAUUUUAUGGACAUCUUCACAUCCUAUUCUUCACUUCUCAUCUGCUUUUAUGAUUUUUAGGGAACUGAAAUAGUCGAAUGCAUGGUACAUGGCUUUUCAGAACUUAAGGUUCAUUCUAGCGCAGAUGCUAAUGCCUUCCGGAUGAUGAACAAGUUAAGAUUGAGCAGAAUUCAGAAUUCGCAACUUCCUCAAGGCCUAGAUUACCUCUCUAAUGAGUUAAGAUUACUUAAAUGGUAUAGGCAUCCACUUAAAAUCCUUUCCACCAAAUUUCCAACUGGAUAAAACUUUCAAGCUUAAGUUGUGUGAAUGCCGCAUUGAAGAAUUGUGGAAGGGAAUCAAAGUAAGAUCACUUACUUUUGUGUUUAUUAGUGAAUAAUUGUUUUAUUUUUUCCCUUUAAAUUUUGAAAUUACUUUCUAAGUUUAUACGAGAAGUAUCGUUGUAAAUUAAGAAAAAUUUCUUCUUGGUCCUUUAUGUUUCCAACAGCCUUUGAACAUGUUGAAAGUCAUGAAACUCGUGCAUUUGGGGCAGCUGUGAAGCCGCUCUCCACCCUAUAUUUUAGGGGAAUAUCCCCUAUAAUAAAACGUGAGCUGCCCCAAACGGAAGCUCAACCAUUCACAGAACCUGAUUAAAACACCAGACUUCACAGGGGUCCCAAAUUUAUAGAAGUUCAUUCUCGAAGGAUGCACAAGGUUGCACGAAAUUCACCCAUCUUUGCUGCUUCACAAUAAGCUCAUUGUAUUGAAUCUUAAGGAUUGUACAAGUCUCAAACUCUUCCAGGCAAAUUUUUUAUGAAAUCUUUAAAAACACUUAGUACUUUCUGGUUGCUCAAAGUCGAAGAAAUUUCCAGAGAUUGUGGGAAAUAUGAAGUUUCUGCGGGAGCUUCUUUUGGAUGGAACUGAUAUUAAGGGACUACCAUUAUCAAUUGUACUUUUAUCUGGAAUUGUUCAGUUGGAUUUGAAAGGCUGCAAAAAUAUUAGUUGUCUUUCAAAUUUCAUAAGUGCUUUAAAAUUUCUUUCCACUUUCAAUCUCUCUGGCCUUUUGAAAUUCAGAUUGCCUCUAGAGAUCAUGGGACGUAUGGAACAUUUGUUGGGCGCUUCGGUUGUUGGGAACCACUAUAAGAGGAUUGCUAGUGUCAACUGAAUAUCUCUCUGUCAUUGUUUUGCUAAAUUAAAAAGGUUGCAAACAUCUCUCAAGUCUUCCAGUUACUAUAAGUAGUUUAAAAUGUAUAAGAACUCUUAACGCUCUCUGGUUGCUCGAAGCUGGAAAAGUUUCCGGGAAGUAUGAAAUCUCUGACUAUGCUUAUUUUAGAUGGAACUGCUAUUCGAGAAUUGUCGUUGUCAGUUGAACUUCUAACUGGCCUUGUUGUGUUGAAUUUGAAAGAUUGGCAAUAUCUCUCGAGUCUUCCAAGUACAAUCAAUGGUUUGAAAUCUCUUAAAAUUCUGAAUGUCUCUAGUUGCUCGAAACUUGAAAUUGUGCCAGAGAACUUGGGUAAAGUAGAAAGCUUGGAAGAGCUUGACAUUAGUGGAACAGCAAUUAGGCAACUUCCGACCUUUAUUUUUCUCUUAAAGAAUCUUAAAGCAGUGGACCACUAUCAUCUACAUCAUGGGAUUUGUGCUUCCUUCCCAAUAUGAUGUGAAGGAGUUUAGAUCCCAUGACUAAUUUGAUAUUACCUUCUCUAUCAGGCUUAUGUUCUUUAACAAAAUGGGAUCUCAGCAACUGUAAUCUACCAAUGGAAGGAGGAGAAAUCCCAAGUGUUAUUUACCACUAAUGCCUAUUGUUCAAGAAUGAACUAGAAUCUAAUUCCAAGACUAGACGCAAUGUCGGCUGAAUAAUAAAUGAUAGUAUGAACUGCUCUCGGUUACCCCUAGAGGACUCAUGUACGACGUCUAGCUCAGGUCGUCUAAAUUUAGUAAGUGAGUGCACGCUUUGGUCACGUGCACUAACUUAUACAUAAUGAUCAAACGACCCGAAAAGACUGCCGUUUUGAUGAGCAUUACUAUCAUUAUAUGGCUGUUAAAUCGGUUAGAAAGGGUGGGAGAUUAUUACAAACCCAUAACAGGCUGAUGACCGAUGAGGUAUAUUGUAUGAUGUCCAUUCAGUAGCUUGUAAUUUUCUCUCUAAGUUUGUAAGUUGUUCUGAGAAAACAAAUAAAGCUUGCCAAAGAAAGCAUAGGCCAUUGUAGCUAAACAUCUUGGAUUUUUAAUUUCUUGAUAAACUAUAUAUUCAUUUGAAUUAUGUAAUAUGAAGAUUUUUGUAUCAUUAGUUUGUGCUUGUUGGUUUUUUAUUUCUUUCAUUCUAAUAUACAAUUAUAAUAGGAAAAAUGACAUUUACACCCCUUGAAUUUGAGGAAAUGGUCACCAACACCUCCAAUUUAAAAAAAAACAUUAAAACCCCUUUUUGACAAUUAACCCUUUAAAAAAUUAAAUUUAAAAUUUUUAGAAAAUAGAAAUAUUAUAUAAAUAAUGUAAUCUAUGCAAUAGACUAAUAAUAUUAAAAUAAUUUAAUAUUUUAAUAAAUUUAAAUAUAUAAAUUGUUAUAUUUAUUUAAUAAUAUAUUUUAUUUAUUUUAGAUAUUUUAAAUAAAUAUUUGCAUUAAAUAUAUUUUACAAUUAAAAAAAUCUCACAUACUAAUGUUAUUAUUAUUUUACAUAAUAUUCAAAAUAAUUUAAAUUUUAAUACACUUGUUUUAACAUUAUGAUUCUAUUUAUUAUCAAAUUUAAUUUUAUAUACUAAAAUAUAUCUAAUAGAUUGUAAAAUAUUAAAAUAUUUUUGAAGUAUUUCUAUUUAUUAUAAAACAUUAGAGUUGAUUCUUUUUUGGAUAAUAGAGGUUAAAGGGUAUUAUCAUUAAAAGAGGGUCUUGAUGUUCCAUUUUGAAAUUUUGGGAGUGUUGGUGAUUAUUUCCCUAAACCUUGGGGGUGUAGAUGUCCUUUUUCCCAUUAGAAUAUCUUUUUUUGGCUAUUAUACCUUUCAAUUAUAGUAAUAUUAAAAUUGAUUUUAAAUUUUAAAAUAAAUACAAAUAUAAUAUUAGAAUAAAUAAACAAAAAUUAAUAAUUUUUAUUUUGGAAUUCCAAAUAUAUUGUUUUCAACAUCAGAAAUUAUAGUAUUUCAACUGGAUGACAUCCUAAAAUAAAAAUUAUGGAAAAGAAAUCAGAUUGCUAUUAUUAGACUAAAUGAUAAAAAAUUAAUUUUAUUUUAGAAUUAUUUAAAAGAAAUUAAUCGCAAAUAAAAAAAAAUUUAAAACAAUUGACCCUGGGCCGGCCUCGUUCGUCUUUUUAUAUAGAAUUGCAGGUCAAGAGCAUGCCCAGAACAUGUUUGACGAAAUACCCAAGAAGGAAUGCAUCCAUCUGAUAUGUUGAAGAGCACCGACAUGAUGCAUCUGUUACGGUAACUUUGUGAUUUCCUAAGCAAUCAGAAUCAAACAGUCAACAAAGUCAACUUUAUGAUUUCCCAGUUAAUCAACAAAGUCAAUUAUGCUACAACUUUAUGAUACAUCUAUUGCCACAAUUUUUUUUCACGUAGAAAAUUCAAUUAAAUUAAUUUAAUAUUGUCCUGGCUCAAACAUGCUGCCGCUUUGCUUGUAGUGCGGGUUUUCGGGUCCUUCAAUUUGCUGGUAGUGUACUUUUUCGUUUGCUGAUUAUGAUUAUUUCGGAGCCAAACUUAUAAAUUUAAUUCGAAAAGAAAAAUUUUAGGAACUUAAGUAAGAGGCUGUUGAAUCAAUUGCUUGCAACAGGAGCAUUCUGCAGGGAGUUUCUCCAUAUGUUCUGUCCCCCGCAAACAUUUCACAAACCAUUUGCGUGUUGCUUUGGAACAAAAGGGAGCCGUUUUAUUUAGGGACGACCAGGAACUCGAGAGAGGAAAAGUAAUUUCACCAGGACUACUUACAGUAAUUGAAGAAUCAAGAAUUUUAAUAAUUGUUUUCUCAAGAAACUAUGAGUCUUCCACUUGGUGUUUGAAGAACCAAGAAUUUCAAUAAUAUCUUUCAUAAAUUUGAAGUCAGAAAACAACUAAAUCAUCUUAAAAAGAAAAAAAAUUAUAAUUUACACUUUUAAAAACAAUUAGAUCAAAUCUCUUCAUUGGCAGCUAACAACAUCAAUUCCAUAUCCAAGUCAGCAAGUUUGGAAAGGUUCAUCCGCCGCUUGGAUUGCUGAAUCGCUCUUUUGGAUAAAUUUUCCGGCUUUUAAUAAAAGAAAAUUGGAAAAGGAAAUUAUAGAGAUUGAACAAUUAGCAACAUAAAAAAGUUAAAAUUACUAACAAAUGAGCAAUUAUACUUUUCCAGCAAGUGAUUUCUGCUUUCUUAGAUUGCUGAGACGAUUAACAUGAAACUAGUUUUUUCUUCUUUUUUUUUUUUGGCAACAGAUAAAAGAAACUGAGUGAUUGAACAAUUAGAGAGACACAAUGUCCAGCCUGGACUAGAUUUGAGUAUUUGACGAAUAAAAAGAACAAUAGGAAUUGAUUUUUUUAUUUUUUUUUUGGGGUAGUUUCAAGUGAUGGAUUAUAGAAAGGAUAGAAUGAAAAAUAAGGAUAAAUUGGGGAGUAAAUGGGGUACAGUAAUAAGAAAUAAGAAUAAUUUAUUUUUAAGAGAUGGGCCAGAUGAAAUAAAAUGAAGCGUUCAAAUAUCACUUUUUCUAUAGUGUUGGCCAAUUAGCACUUUUUUUUUUUUUUUUAGAAGAAAGGGAUUCAUUCAUUAACUGAGUUAAAAAGGUACAUAAUUUUUUAAGGGUAUGACCCUUUCCAAAUAGCAGUUUCACCACUUUCUAAAGCUCUCUUAGCUAAAGAAUGAGCAAUGGCAUUACAGGAUCUUAAAAUGUGCUGGACUUUGACAGCAUUAAACUCCUUCAUUUUGCUUUGCACCUCUAUUAUUUCCCAUUGGAUCUCUGUUCUGCUGCUCUUUUUGCUGUUAACCAAAUCAAUAGUCUCCUGAGAAUCUGAUUCCAUGAUGAUAUUUGGCAAUUUUGCAUGCUUUGCUAUGCUUAGACCCCAGCUCACAGCUUCUACUUCUGCAUGAGUUACAUCACCAUGAAACUUUGUGACCUUUAUUGCAGUUGCCACAAAAUUUUCCCCCGCAUCCCUUAUGACAACUCCCAGGCCAGCACAUUGGUUUUUCACGUUUAUGGCUGCAUCAACAUUGAUUUUACACUAAUCUAGUGGAGGGCGGCUCCAGCCUCUUGGAAUCUUUUCUUUCUGCUCAGCAAAAUCCUUUCGGGUUUGUGCUUUGACCUUUUAAACUCUUCCACUACUGAUUCAGCUUUCGCAGCUAGGAUUCUAGGGUCUUCUCUCUUCCCUUUGAAUGACACUUGAUUUCGGGCACUCCAUGCUACCCAAAACAUAGCCGCCACCAUCUCAGUAUCAGCCUUGCCAAUCCUUCUUUCCAGAUCUUGAAUUACACUGAGAAUGUCCUGAGUUGCAAUGCUUCUGAGCUCUACUGCAGCCUCAGUUACCUUCCAGAUUCUGCGGGCUGACCUGCACUCCACCAACGCAUGGAAAGUAUUCUCCAAAGCAUUUCAACAGAGCUGACAGAGCGGUUGGGCUAGAAUUUUCCUUUUCCACAGAUUUGCAGCUAUUGGGAGGAGAUUUUUGGCUGCUCUCCAAAUGAAAAUUUCGAUUUUCUUAGGCAAUGACAUAGUCUAUAUAAUAGGCCAUGGACUUGCUUUCUAAUUUGAGCAUCCUCGAGAGUCUUCUAGCGUAAUCCUCAAUGCAACUUGAUAUCUGCUUUUCACAUUAUAAUUUCCUUUUUUAUCAAAAUGCCACAGGACUUGAUCUGCUGUUGGUUGUCUAGGGAGUGGGAUUCUUGUAAUUGUAUCAGCAUCUUCUUUCACAAAGUGUUGGUAUAUCAGCCCAACCUUCCAUUGAUUAUCAUCAUCAAUAAGCUCCGAAACAGUCACAUCAAUUGGCAAAGAUGGAAGGGAAACUGGUUUGAAUGUCAAUGGCCUCGACAUCCAGUUUCCUCUAUAAAUUUCCACUUGAUCACCUCUUCCAAUCCUCCAUCUUAUCCCUCUAUUGAUAACUUCUCUCCCCCAUAAUAUACUUCUCCAAAUAAAUGAGGGUCUGAAGCCUAACUUUGCAUUAAGAAAAUGACAGUUCUUAAAGUAUCUUGCUUGUAAGAUCUUUGACACCAUAGAAUCUGGGAACUGCAAUAUUCUCCAGCCUUGUUUCGCUACCAGAGCCUGGUUAAAGCUUGCGAAAUCUCUAAAGCCUAAUCCUCCUUUUUGCUUUGCUUGGCUUAAGCUCUCCCACCUUGCCCAAUGGAUGCCUCUUUUUUCCGCAUUACUACUCCACCAAAAUCUAGAUAUCACCUUUUGGAUGUCAUCACAAAUGCCCAAAGGAAGCUUAAAGACACUCAUAGCAUAUGCUGGAACAGCCUGUGCUAAGAAUUUGUAUUGCCAGCUCGAAAUUUUACUCAUCACCCUCAGCUUUAUUUCAUUGAAGAAACCUUUCCUUUUUCUCCCCACUAUGGACGGCAGCCCCAGGUAUUUCUCAUGCCUUGAGACUACAUUUAACUGAAAAAUGUUUUUAAUUGCUGCAACGCUUCCACUAUCUGUGUUCUUGCUGAAAAACAUUGAAGAUUUGUUAUAGUUGAAGAGCUACCCUGAGGCUGUUGCGUAGCAAUAAAAAAUCCGCUUAAGGUGUUGGCAAUCUUCAGCCGAGGCUCUUGAGAAAAUCAGGCUAUCAUCCGCGAACAUGAGAUGUGAAACAUUGAUGCUGUUGCCAAACCUGAGGCCAUGAAUCAGCACUCUUCCUUUUGCCUUUUGCAGCAUAACAGAGAACACCUAUGCACACAUGAUAAACAAAUAAGGAGAGAGAGGGCAGCCUUGUCUUAGGCCCCUCUGAGGGUAGAUUAAGCCUUUUGCUGUGCCAUUUAUAAGGACUGAAAAGAAUGAAGUUGUGAUGCACCUCAUGAUUAGGUUUACCCAUGAUCGAGGAAAUCCUAAUUUAAUCAUUGUUUGUUCCAAAAACAACCACUCCACCCUAUCGUAGGCCUUACUUAUAUCAAGCUUUAGAGCCACAAGCCCAUUUCUCUUCCCUUCACUAUGCCUAACCUUAUGUAAGCAUUCAUAACCUAUGAUAAUGUUGUCAGUUAUGAGUCUAUUUGGAAUGAAAGCACUUUGGGUAGGGGAGAUGACUUGGUGGAGAAUGUGUUUAAGCCUAUUUGCAAUAGCUUUAGCCACAAUUCUAUAAAUGACAUUACAUAAGCUUAUAGGUCUAAAAUUGGUCACUUUCCUAGGCUUUUUAGUCUUAGGAACUAGAGCAAUAUAUGUGUGGUUAAGAGGGGUUAUUGUACCUUGCUCGUUCAGAAUAUGCAAACAUGUAGUCACCACUCCACUUUUUACCAUUUUCCAAUGCUUUUGGUAGAAGAACGCUGGAAAUCCAUCGGGUCCUGGUGCUUUGGUGGGGCACAUUUGGGAUAGGGCUUCAAGAAUCUCUUCUUCCGUAAUGGGUUGUUGCAGCUGAUCAUUCAUCUCCUCAGUGACUCUUGGAGUUAUUUCUUCUAGGGCAGCAUCUAACUGAUUCUGGUCUGGUCUAGUUGUUGAGAACAAGUUAGCGAAGUAUGCACAUAAUUCUCUUUCUACUUCCUCCCCCAUCACUAUCCAGUUCCUUUGGCUGUCUUGAAUGCCCCAAAUCCUAUUCUUCCUCUUUCUCGAUGAGGCUUUUGCAUGAAAAUAUUUAGUGUUCUUGUCCACUUCUUUAAGCCAAUCAACCCAGGAUCUUUGUUUCCAAUAAAUUUCUUCAUCUAUCAAAAUAUUUUGGAUAUGCCUUUUCACCCUUUUGAUCUCCUCUCCAUUGCUAUACUGCCUCCCACUGAACCUCAGCUCUUUUAGCCUAGCCACCGGCUUAUCCAACUUCUUUUUCCUCCCUUUGAAUUCUUCCCUGCUCCAACACUUCAGCUGGGCCAUGGAAUCUUUAGUUGUUUUUUUGAACAGUUAGACAGGAUCAGCAUGCUUCCAGUCACCAUGCUGGCUCCAUUCUCUUUGAAUUAUGUCUUUACAGCCCUUAUAACUACUCCACAUAUCUUCAUAAUGCACCCGCGAAGUACUUCGCUUUGUGUAGCUCAGUCUGCUUCCUCUUUCAUUCACCUCCAUCAAAACAGGACAAUGAUAUGAGGUCCAUGUUUCUAGGUUGAUGGCAGCACAAUCGUCAUAAAUCUCCCGCCAAUUCUUACUACACAAAAAUCUAUCCAAUCUUUCUUCUACAAAGCCAGGACCCUACCUACCAUUACCCCAUGUAAAACGGGUAACCUUUACAGCCCAUAUAAACUAGAUUACACUCUUGCAAUGCCUCUCUAAACUCACUUAUCAUGUUUGGAUUUCUCUCAUUACCACCUAUUUUCUCCCUAGGGUGUAAAAUUUCAUUGAAAUCACCAAAGCACAACCAGGGGUAUCAAACAAACCUGCAAGUCUCCUCAGUAUUGUCCAAGUAUGUUUCUUCUGCCCCGCUUCAGGGUGCCCAUAGAUUCCCGUGCAUCUCAUCCAACUUCCUUUGUCAUCUUGAACCUUGGCAUCAAUGUGGUGGCUGCUGAAUGAAGUAACAUCCACAUUGACAUUAUUGUCCUAAAGCAUUGCCAAUCCCCCUCCCUUCCCGUUUCUAUUGACUGCAAAACAAUUUUCCAAUCUCAACUUCCUGUUCACUAUAGACAUUUGCACAGGCAUUAAUUUCGUUUCACAUAAAAACAACAAAUGUGGCCUGUGUUGAUGGAGAAUUUUUUACAAAGCUAGGAAUGUCCGGGAAUUCCCCAAACCACAGACAUUCCAACUGAGGAUCUUCAUUGUUACCGGUAGGGCUGCCCACCAGCCUCCGCCGAUAUCUCUGUGAUGAUUGGCCUUGCCACCUCCAUGUCAUCUACUGACAUUAACUCCCAUUUUAGCUCAAGGUUUGCUGAAGAAGGGGAUUGCUGAGCUUGUCUCUGUAUUUGUUUAAUGGGACUAACCAACUUGACUCUUUUUUUUGUUUAGGUUGUUUUCUUUCAACAUGCAAUGUGGCCUCUUAGCUGGAUAUGUCUCCCGCUUGAUUCCUCCCAUCUCGCUUUGUUUUCGGGCCUAGCGUUUCUAGCUUUUUCUAUUGGGCUUAAUUUGAUUUAAUUCCGGUCCAUCAUCUACACCUUCCUCGUCUUCUUUACAAACUUGAGCCUUGGCUCUUUGAUCCAUUUCUUCGGUAGCCAAUUUUCCUUCUUUGCUAAAUUUUCCGCUUUCCCUCUCAUUUUCAUCAACUUUUCCCGCGUUGCUGCUCAUCUUGCUAGGGGCCUUUUCAUUGUCAGUGGCUGCAGGUUGCUUGUAGCAGUCCACUCUCUGAUCUCCUAAUUUUUUCCAGCUGAGCAUUAAAUGCGUUUCUUCUGCUUCCUCUUCAUUAUUUUCUUUAUUGGCUGCCACGUGUGUGUCUUCCUGGUCUGAGCUUGAUUCUGGUUCUGUUGCAUUGGUCCUAUGUGAUUGAAGGGGUUGCUGCGCCUGGGACAUUGGAUUUUCCUUGAAGUCUUUGUGCCUGUUAUUAGUUGGCUGGUUAACCAUUUUGCCACUAACUUUUGUUCCCCUUUCAUGGGGUCUGCUUAUUUUUUAUUUGCCAAAUACAGGGACCACUUGCAUCCAUACUCCAUAAGCCAGUUUCUCUUUUGGUUGCCCCUCGUAUUUGUUGCACUCCUUGUAUUGGUGCCUGACGAGACCACAACAAAAGCAAAAUUCGGGCAAUCUCUCGUAAACUACUGGAAUUGGGACAUCAUCUUCUCCUUCGAGUUCUAGAUAAAUUGUUCUGCUUUAUGCAUUUGUUACUUCAACUCUAUGAUUUCCCAAGAAAACAAUCAAUAUGUGAAUGUUUAGGUGCAGAAAACAUGGGCCAGCAGCUUGUAAGAACCAGGGAAAAAAGCAGAACAAUUUCAAUUCUUUGAAACCGAGUGCAGUUAAGUAAAUUCAUAAUUUCAUAACUUCUUUUAUAAUAUGCAAAUUGUAUUACUUCUAUAUGAAUUGCUUUUAGUGUGGUUAAACAGAGUGUUUCAGACUCAUGGAACAAGAAUGUUGAUAAGGUUAGCAAGCAAUGAACAGCAGAACUGAUUGAGGAAACUCAGGCUCAGAUUCUCACUAGUCCUGCAAUUAACAACUGGAAAGGUUAAAUCAAAUAAUAGCAAAUUCAAAUCUUAGGUGGCCACUUCUUUUGGCUCAGUCAAAAGUUCAGGUUUGAUAGCAGGUUCUAUAAUAUCUCCCCCGCCAUGCACACAUCAUUAUCUUAAUUUUAUCAUGCUUGUAUGCCUGGAUGGAUGCUUGUAUGCUUGACUUCUGCCACAUUUCCAUUUCCGUACACAUUCAAUAUACAGUAGUGGCUCGACCUCUAGGCAACUUAGGUGGUUGCCUAGGCCCCCUCUUUACAUGAGGGCCCCAUGAGAUGAUUAUUUUGUAAAUAAAAGAAAAACAUGAAUUUAAAAGUCAUUAUUAUUCAUUUAAUUUAUUAUUAUUUUAUAAUUAUCUUUUCCUAAAUAAACUAUCAAAUUCCUAUAAAGUUUAUUUAAUAUAAUACUUAGUAGUUUUAAUUCCUACAAAACCGAUAAAUUCCAGAUUCUAUCUUUUUACUAUUCUCUUAAUUAGCUGUGUUAUUUAUUUAUUUAUUCUUUUUUCUUUUUAAUAUAUUCUUGUAUUAAUCUACUAUUUUUUGUGUGUGCUUGUUUUAUCUAUUUUGAAAUAAAACUAUAUCGAAAAAAUUUAGAAAAUAGAAGAAUAGAAAAAUUAGUUUAAUCUAGAAAAGGAGCAGUAAAAAAGAUGUAAUUUGAAUUAAAAAAAAAAGUGAAAAUGUUAUAAUUGAAUUAAAAUUUCAUGGAUUAGCAAUAGUAGAAUAGAAUUUUAUUUAAUAAUUUUACAUUUUAGAGUAUUUAAAGAAUUAAUUUUCAAAAAAUAAUAUAUAACUAAUAUAUAUAUAUAUAUAUAUAUAUAUAUAUAUAUAUAUAUAUAUAUAUUUUGUCUUAAAUUUUAAGAAGAACUAAUUGAAAUCAUUUACCCAAGGCCUCAAAUAUGGUUGAGCCGGCCCUGUCAUUAUAAAAGUAUAAUAGCAAGUAUUAGUUAGCUGAGCUGACUUUGUUGACCAAAGCUUGUAUAGAAACUGAAUAACAGAACAACUUAUGAGGCUUGUAACCAAAAGGAUGCCUAAAGCUAAAGCCAACUAUUUUUAGUAGAAAUUGAGGGCACUAAACCUUUCUUCUCUUCCCAAACUUUAUGCAAUUUCAAAGAAAAAUGUGAAACCUUUAAUCUUUGUUUUCCAUUUUUUACUUAUUUUAAUGAGAAAAUUCUACAAUUUAAUUAAAAUUUUUUUAAAGAUUAUAGUGGAAUUACUCCAAAAGAAUAUUGUAUUCUUUUUCCCUAUAAAAUGCAAUUACAAUGAAGACGCCCUUAAUAAAAUACCUAAAGAAAUUUUUUCUUUUGGUGCGUAGAUUAUUGAAGCUGGCUUUGUCAACAUCGUGUCGAUCAAAAUCAUUCUUCAUUAAUAUAUAUAUAUAUAUUUAUUUAUUAAAACGGGCUCUUUAAGACGAGUUAGAUAUGAACAAGGCGGGGUUGACAAACCCCAAACAUAUCUUGCGAAAUAAUAGAAUAAAUACCCACAGGCGGGUUAGAGAAUAAAUGUAAACCAUGCGGAACUAAGUGAGCCAUAUUUGCCAUGAAAUCUGCAGUUGAGUUUGCUUCACGGUAGAUUUACGAGAUAGAAAUCUGCCAAUUCCUGCUUAAGAAAUCACGAAUUGCCACCACUAAAGCAUAGAAAACAUUAGGCACGACCACCUGCUGAGAUAUCAUUUGAGUUACACAGAGGCUGUCUACUUCCACCAAAAGAUGUCUGAUGCCAACAUUCUAGGCAAGGGAUAAUCCUUGAUACAGUCCCCAGAGUUCGGCCAUAAUCACUGAGCUUUCCCCAAUAUUCAUACUAAAACUUGAGAUCCAGUUACCAAAAGAAUCGCGAAUUACCCCACCCGCUCCAGCUUCUCCUGUAUUUCUAUAGGAACCAUCUGUGUUCAACUUACACCAUGGUCAUGGAGGAGGCAACCAACUAAUAAAAAUCUCCUUACACCUUGGUUGUUGGCUAAGAUGAGAGUUAUUAAUUCUAUGGAUCUCACUAGCUCUGCCAUUAUAUCCAAGUAUAUUGUCUUGCUAUCUACCAAAUUUCUAGCCAUAAUAAAAUGAUUCCGCCAAAACCAUAACCUCCAAAUAGCCACUCCAAAAAUAUAAUCCCAAGGAAGCUCAGAAUCAAUUUUCCAGUUGUUUUGCACGUUGGCAGCAAUCCAUGCACGUAAGUUAGAUUGGAAAAAAGAGAGAUGGUGACGGGCUGGAACAAGAUGAAGCCAUAGAUUCUUAAUGCAUCGACAAUCUCUCACAGCAUGAAGAAUGUCCUCAGCUGAAAUCCCGCACCUAGCACAAACAUCCGAAACGGGAAUAUUACGCCGACUGAGCUCACGGUAGGUCUUCAAUUUGCCAUGCAAAAUCUGCCAAAUAAAGAGCUUUAUAGAUUGGGGUCCUUUCCAAGACCAUGGCAAGUUCCAUACUUUAUCUUGAGCAUCCAUGUUGUGAUGGCAAAGAGAUUCAUAAGCGGAUCGAACAGUGAACAAUCCUCUUGGAUUAAAACACCAAUACAGUCUGUCAGGUCCAAGAUGCGGAGCAGGAGGCAUGAUCGAAGCAAUCUGCAGAAGAAUAAAAGGGGGCAGCAAGAGCUGAAAGUUCGACCAUCUCCAGCCACCAUGUUCAUUAGUAAAAUCGCUAACAGUUGCAUUGAGAGAGACUUGAGGGAUCGGUUGGAGAGCAAGGCCAAUCAAAGGUUCAUAUUUCGUCACCCAACAGUCCAGCCAGAACCGAAUGCGAGCACCAUUGCACAAUGCCCAGCGAGCUCCAUGCAUGGCUGCAUCCCACGUUUUCCUUAUAGCAGACCAGACGCGCGAUCCUUGCUUGUCAGGGAGGGAAGACGGCAAAUUGCAUGGGUCCAGUCCAUACUUAGAACAGAGAACCGUCACCCACAACGUAUCCAAGUUGGAAAUAAUGCCCUAACUAAUCUUCAUUAACAGGGCAUGAUUCAUCACCUCUAAAUUUUUAAAACCCAAGCCACCACGUGAUUUUGGCAAGCAGAUUUUGUCCCAGCCUACCAUGCAUAUCUUAGGACUCUUCGACUUCCCAUCCCAAAUAAAUCUACGGCAGCACUUAUCGAUUCUAUGGCACACCGAUGAAGGAAGCAUGGUCGUUUGCAUUGCAUAAAUCGGCAUGGCUUGAAUCACCGAUUGCGCCAAAGUAACACGACCAGCAAAGGAUAAGUGAGCCGCGUUCCAGCCACUGAGCCUCAUGUCUACCUUGUCCAAAAUAGAUUGGUACGUGGCUUUAUUCACCCUCGAAUGAAGUAAUGGCAUUCCAAGAUAGUUUCCCAGGUCAUGAGUAAUCGAAACCCCCAAGGCAGCACCAAUGAGCUUUGCCUCUCUUGAAGCAACAUUCUUCGAAAAGAAAAUUGUAGUUUUCACUUUAUUAACCUUUGCUUCAGAACUUCGACAGUAAUUUUCUAAGACCGCAUCAAUAAUAUGAGCUUGAUCUAUCGAAGCUUCUGUAAAUAAGAGCAAAUCAUCAGUAAAAAAAAGGUGGGUAAGAGGAGUGCCAUGUUUAACCAACCGAAUUGGCUUCCAGCUUCCAUCCACCAUAGCUUGGGUUAUUCCAUGGCUCAAACGCUCGAUACAGAGCACAAAGAUAUACGGAGAUAGAGGGUCACCCUACCGAAUUCCUCUUCCCGGAUAAAACUCUUCAGUUACCUCACCAUUCCACAGGAUGUUCAUGCUGGCUAAGGUAACACAUUCCAUGAUGAGCCGAGAUAAGUGAAUCGGGAGCCCCGUCUGUUGAAGAGUUUCAAAAAUAAAAGACCAGUUCAGCCGAUCAUAUGCCUUCUCGAGAUCCACCUUAAUAGCCAUGAGCCCUCUUUUACCCGUUUUCUUGCGCAUGGAAUGAACCACUUCCUGAGCAAUAACAAUGUUAUCCACAAUGUGCCGUCCGAGAACAAAACUUGUCUGUUGAGGCCCGAUCAGCUCAGGUAAUAAAGCUUGUAGACAAUUGGCAAUAAUUUUAGUCACUGUCUUAUAGGCAACAGUGCAUAAGCUUAUAGGCCGAAACAUCUUUAAACUAGUAGGAUGAUCCACUUUCGGAAUCAAAACCAACAGAGUUUUGUUUAUGUUUUGAGGGAUUUUACCAGUAUUAAAAAUGUCAAUGAUAAAAGUACAGAAAGAGGGUCCAAUAGUGUGCCACUGGGAUUGAUAAAAGAUAGCCUGCAGUCCAUCAAUACCCGGCGCUUUAAGGGGUUUCAUGCUAAAAAUAGCUCUUUUAAUUUCUUCCUCCACAACCGGAUCAUUAACACAAUCAAGAUAAUUAGCAUUCACGGCUGGAAAAAAAUUCGGAACAGAGUAUGUUUGAUAAGAAUGAGCUUCACUUUUGAAUAAAGAGGAGAAAUACUCAACUGCAUGGCUACGAAUAUCUUUCUCAUUGUAGAUCCAGUUCCCCAUACUAUUCUUAAUGGCCUCAAUUCGAUUUCUUCUGCGACGAGCAAUAGUUUUUUGGUGAAAGAAGGUAGUAUUUCUAUCCUCGUGUAGGAUCCAGUCUUUCCUAGAUUUCUGCCACCAAAAAAUCUCCUCCUGAGCCAUCACCAUCUCUAAUUCACUUCGUAAGUGAGCCUCUAACCGAAUCAGCCCUCUAGAAUUAUAUUGUUCUAAGGCUGCUUGAAUACCAUUAAUCCGAGCCAGUAAUCUGUGUUUACACUGAAAGAUGUUACCAAAAACAUCGUGAUUCCAACCUUGCACCACUUGAAUAAAACUAGUAGUUGCAGUACUGUAGUGAGAGGUGGAAUCCCACACCUGUUUGACAAAAGAAUUAAAAUGCUCAUGAGUUAACCAAGUAGCCAAAAAUCUGAAAGGCCUAAUAACCUGUUGUCGGUAAUCAGCUCCCUCAAAGCGGGCCAGGAUCGGUAUGUGAUCUGAGGCAACUUUCGGAAGGUGAAGAACAGUGUUAUCAGCAAACUUCAUCAGCCAAUCAUUAUUACACACAUCUCUGUCAAGCCGUUUAAACAGGGUGCCAUGAGACCAAGUAAAACGAGGGCCUUUAAACUUUAAAUCAAAAAUUUGGUGGCCAUCAAACCACUGCCAAAAUAAACCACACACUCCAAAGUGUCUGGUAACACCCCCCUGCUUCUCAGAAGCAAACAAAAUAGAAUUGAAAUCCCCUCCAAUCAACCAAGGACCUUGAAUUGAGCCGGCAAGAUUCUCCAUACGACUCCAGAAAUGUCUCCGCAACAUUGGAUUUGAGCUAGCAUAGAUAGCCGUUACCCAAGAGACAAAAAUAUUAUUUCUACAAACUUUGAAAUGAAUAAAUUGCCUAUGAUUAAUUACCACCUCCACCUUAACACAAUUCCGCCACAGGAUCCAGAUUCCUCUAGAAACGCCAACUGCUUCCACUCGAUGAGAGAACUCAAAACCAUUUUUCUUUAUAAACCCAUCUGCUUUCAUUCCACUUACACGAGGUUCCAUGACAACCACCAUAGACGGGUUAUAAUUUUUUACAACAGUCUUAAAAGAGCGCCGAAAAUUUCCGGAGGCCGCUCCUUGGACAUUCCAAAACAAUAUGCUAAUCGUCAUAAAAAUAAAUAAAAAAGAAAACCAAGGGCCCAACAUAUCAAAGCUACUGGUCAUGGAUAUCAUCUAUCAUCACCAAAGGUGAUUCCUGAACCAUCGAGACUUCUUCAUCUGACAUCUCCUUCCCAUCAUCUCCACUCAUUGGAACAACGGGGUGUGUAUAAGCAUGCUCAAAAGCAUUAACAGUAAAGACGUGAUGGUCAUCUGGGGGGUCAGCCAAAGGUUGUGGGUCCAGAUCCUCACAAUCUCUAUGAUCCGUGCCCACACCCUUCAUAUCUCCAUAAGGAAGAAUUUGUGAAGAACAAAAGACCACCGUGUGCUUUGUAGGAUCCAAAGUGGUAGCUACAUGAGGAGUUUGUUGCUUAUUAGGGGCAGCAUGUGUAAUGGGGCAAUGGAUUUGGCUAGGGUUGUCAUGGGGUGUGGAAAUAAUAGUUUUUUCUCUUAUGUGGAGGGCAGUAGUCUGGAAAGGAUUGCGGGUAGGGUUCAUUGGAGUGAAAGGUUUCCUAUUUGGUGGCUUCGAAGCAGCAGAUUUUGGAGUCUGCUGACGUCUAACAGGAGGCUUAAAUACUUUAUCAUUGUUAAAGGUAAAUAUCGGAUUUGAGCUUGAUGGACUAGGUGUUUUGAGGUUGAGGGGACGUCUGUGGAAGCGCCAUGCAGAGAGUUUUCAUGCAGAUCCGUCAUCUGAGCUAGAAUGUGAAACCUUGACUCACUCGCCCCAUUAGGUUCACAGUUUUGACCAUUGUUUGGCUUCCUUCCUUUCCUAGUUACAAUCAUCCAAGGGUCGAAGGGCUCAACCAUAGCAGCAUCUUCACGGUUAGCUUCUGGAGAGGUAGGAUCCUCCCGACUUUGCACACCAGCUGGAGGCUGUGCAACGUUGUCAGAAUUUCUCUCAGCAGCCGAGAUCUUGCAGUUACUGCUAUUAUGACUGUACCUCCCACAAGCAAAACAAAUUACAGGCAAUCCUUCGUACUCUACCUUUUGGAUCAUUCCAUCCAAUUCAAACUGAGAAACUAAAGGCUUGUCUAGGGAAACACUUACUGCAAGGCAAGCAAACCUUCCGCGAGCAGAAGAAGCAAUGUUCGAGUCUACUUUGAUCACCGUACCCACCAUCUGACCAAGUUUUUGCAGAACUUUAUGGUUGUAGAGAUGGACCGCAAGGCCAGGUAAGCGAAUCCAUACAAUGACUUGGUUAAGAACCGUUUUGGUGAAAUCAAAAGAAGGUGACCAUGGCUGGACUGUUAAGUAAUGCCCCAUUAUAAUCCAAGGGCCUUUAGUUAGGGCAUCAACCGCGUCCCCAUCAGAUCAAAAACGAAUCAGAAAAUAAUUAUUUUCUAAGUCAAUCACCGAGUAUGUCAUGGUUGUUCUCCACAACGCAUGUAGCCUAGUGCAUAAAGUUUUGUAGCCAAUAUUUCGGCCUAGCAACUUGACAACAACAGAGUGCUUCCACGGUUCACUUAGCUUCGCAUGAAUCCUAUCCAAAAAACUUAUUGACGGCAAGGUUCCAUCGUUACGCUCAAUCACAUCUCCUUCCUCAAAAUCCCAGUCCACUGCACCUCCUCCAAAUCCAUUCUCCAUUGUUUGUGAUGAAUUCACAAGCGUUUCUUUGUAGGAGACAUGUUUAGUAGUUUCACUAUCGUUUUCCUCAUCACGAAAGCGUGCCUUUUUGGUCGUUCUAGCUUCCCUAAACGGCAGCGGAAAAGCCUCGCCGAAGUUAGGGUUUCCGCCACCUCCGAGAUUUUCGGAGUUUUCAUUCAUCCCUUUUUUCCCUACUUACUUCAUUAAUAUAUAUUAUUACUGUACUUAUAUAUUCAUGCUUAGUAUUAUGUUCAUGUUUCGCUAUUACCUAAUUGAAAUUGCAUUCCAACUUGGAUUUUUAAUUUCUUGAUAAACUAUAUAUUCAUUUGAAUUAUGUAAUCUGAAGAUUUUCGUAUCAUUAGUAUGUGCUUGUUGGUUUUUUAUUUAUCUCAUUUUAAUAUAUCAAUUAUAAAAGGAAAAACGACAUCAACACCCCUAAAUUUGAGGAAAUGAUCACCAAGACCCCUUUUUGACCAUUAAUCCUUUAAAAAAUUAAAUUUAAAAUUUUUAAUAGAUAGAAAUAUUAUAUAAAUAAUGUAAUCUAUGCAACAGACUAAGAACAUUAAAAUAAUUUAAUAUUUUAAUAAAUUUAAAUAUAUAAAUUGUUAUAUUUAUUUAAUAAUAUAUUUUUAUUUUAGAUAUUUUAAAUAAAUAUUUGCAUUAAACAUAUUUUACAAUAAAAAAAUCUCACAUACUAAUGUUAUUACUAUUUUACAUAGUAUUCAAAAUAAUUUUAAUUUUAAUACACUUGUUUUAACAUUAUGAUUCUAUUUAUUAUAAAAUUUAAUUUUAUAUACUAAAAUAUAUCUAAUAGAUUGCAAAAUAUUAAAAUAUUUUUGCAGUAUUGAAAUUAUUUUACAAUGUAUAAAUUAUUACAUUUAUUUUAAUGUUAUAUUUCUAUUUAUUAUAAAACAUUAGAGUUGAUUAUUUUUUGGAUAAUAGAGGUUAAAGGGUAUUAUCGUUAAAAGAGGGUCUUGGUGUUCCAUUUUGAAAAUUUGUGGGUGUCGGUGAUUAUUUCCCUAAACUUUGGGGGUGUAUAUGUAAUUUUUCCAUUAUAAUAUCUUUUUUUGGCUAUUAUACCUUUUAAUUAUAGUAAUAUUAAAAUUGAUUUUAAAUUUUAAAAUAAGUACAAACAUAAUAAUAGAAUAAAUAAACAAAAAUAGUAAUUUUUAUUUUAGAAUUCCGAAUAUCUUGUUUUCAACAUAAGUAUAGUAUCUCAACUAGAUGGCCUCCUAAAAUAAAAAUUACAGAGAGGAAAUCAAAUUGCUAUUAUUAGACUAAAUAAUAAAAAAAUUAAUUUUUAUUUUGGAUUUAUUUAAAAGUAAUUGAUCACAAAAUAAAAAACUUUAAAACAAUUGACCAAGGGCCAGCCUCGUUCGUCCUUUUAUAUAGAAUUGCAGGUAAAAAUCAUGCCCAGAACAUGUUUGAUAAAAUACCCAAGGAGGAAUGCAUCCACAGGAUAUGUUGAAGAGCAACGACAUGAUGCAGCUGUUGCUGUAACUUUGUGAUUUCCUAAGCAAUUAGAAUCAAACAGUCAACAAAAUCAACUUUAUGAUUUCCCAGUUAAUCAACAAAGUCAAUUAUGAUGCAACUUUAUGAUACAUCUAUUGCCACAAUUUUUUUUUUCGCAUAGAAAAUUCAAUAAAAUUAAUUUAAUAUUGUCCAGGCUCAAACAUUUUCUCGCUUUGCUUGUAGUGGGGGUUUUCGGCUCCUUCAAUUUGCUGGUAGUGUACUUUUUCGUUUGCUGAUUAUGAUUAUUUAGGAGCCAAACUUAUAACAUUUAAUUCCAAAAAAAAAAUUAGGAACUUAAGUAAGAGGCUGUGGAAUCAAUUGCUUGCAACAUGAGCAUCCUACAGGGAGUUUCUCCAUAUGUUCUGUCCCCCGCAAACAUUUCACAAACCAUUUGUGUGUUGCUUUGGAUCAAAAGGGAGUCGUUGUAUUUAGGGACGACCAGGAACUCGAGAGAGGAAAAGUAAUUUCACCAGGACUGACUUACAGUAAUUGAAGAAUCAAGAAUUUUAAUAAUUGUUUUCUCAAGAAACUAUGCGCCUUCCACUUUGUGCUUGAAGAACCAAGAAUUUCAAUAAUAUUUUUUAUAAAUAUCAAAGUGAGGAAACAACUAAAUCAUCUUAAACAGAAAGAAAUCAUAAUUUAUACUUAUUAAAAACAAUUAGAUCAAAUCUCUUCGUUGGUAGCUAACAACAUCAAUUCCAUAUUCAAGUCAGCAGGUUUGGAAAGUGUUUGGGGGAUAUACUUCGACAAGACCAGCCGUGAUGAGCAGAGAUCUGGUAGCAGGGGUACGCGAAUAGGUAUAUCUUGCAAAAGUCUGGUAGCAUGGUAACAGGAGCAGGAAUAUUCUGCUCGUCCACGAAUACGCCAUCCGCGAGGCCGGUCUCCUGUCUGAAGCAUAAAACCAUUCCUGCUAGGGGUUGAGGCGAGGAGACCCGGUCAACGACAGUUGGCGAGAUGGGCUCUCAAACCCGAGAAUCAAGGCACGAAGGCCAUGCAACCACCCACGAUUACGGAAACGGAGCAUCCACCUUCGAGAGGUGGGAAGAUAACGGGCGUGAAUGGAGGGAAGGUCUGAACUCAGGAGAAGCCUAUAAAAGGGUGGCCAACGAAGGUAAAAGGGUUAGGAUUUUCGACAUCAAAACUGAGAUAAAGAGAGCAUUAAGCAAUCGAUACCAAAAAUAAGCCAUAAGAUUAGUGGCUAACGUUCCCAGGAACACGAAACCUUCAUUUCUGACUUGAGCGUCGGAGGGUUUACGCCGGGAAAACAACCGGCGUGCUCUGACUUGUUUCUAUGUACGUAGGCAUUUUUGGAGGAGUCAUACGAGGAGAGAUCCUGAUCGUGGUUGAGUUGAUCGAGCAGAGAUCCUGGUCGUAGUCAAGAGGGUAAUCAAAAUCUCGUAUCAACAUUUUGGGGCUGUCUGUGGGGAGCUGAUAAAAAAGCUUAUGUUGACAGCAAGAAGAGGAGUAAAGCAAGUGAAGAAAUAAUGGAGGUAGGAGGAAGUAGUGCGCAAGGAGGUGAUAUGAGGCUUAACGAUUCCGUGACGUUGAGGGAGAUAGCCAAUGAAGCACAGGAAAAGGCUAUGUAUGACCGGAUGGAACGGAUGGAAAAGCAGAUGGAGACCCUGACAACCAUCCUGCAUGAGUUGCGGAGUGAACGAAGAGGAAUCCAUGAGGAAGGGAUAAGAAGUGGCGGAAUGGCACCCGGGCACGAUGAUAUGAUGAGAAGUCGGACCACCAGAGGAUUUGGUGGUGGGGGAGUUAAUUUGUCUCUAUGGGGAGAAGUGCAUAGAGGAGAAAAUCAAUCCCCAGGAAGGCAGAUCCUUGAUAAUGAUGACGGGGUGGUGAAUGCAGAGGAGAGAGAACUCAGACAACACCUGCAUGAUGUAGAGCAAGAGCGGGAUCAAGUUGCAGCACGUGACUCUGGUCGUGCAGUACAGCUGGAGGAAGAAGUGCGCAAAUUAGCGCAGAUAAUUUUUGACAUGCAAGGAAGGAGCAGAGCACCCGGUUGGAGGAUAAUGCUGGAUAGAGAAUCUCCGCUCUCAGCAGAGAUCAUAAGGGCAGUUAUCCCGAGGGAUUUUCGCCUCCUAGACCUCAGAUAUGCGGGACGAACUGAUCCGUUGGUACACAUAAAGCGCUUUAACGACAUAACUGGAGUGCAAGGAUUAUCCCAAGCUCAAAGAUGCAGGGUAUUUCCACUGUUAGUAGAGGGGUGAGCACGCGAGUGGUACCGCAAACUUCCUCAAGGGAGCGUCAAAUCCUUUGAGCAGAUGUGCCAAGAAUUUGCAGAGCAGUUUCGUAGGGCAAUGGCACCAGAAGAUGACAUGAUGGAGUUGAAAAACAUGAAGCAGGGGGAACAAGAAACCCUUCGGAAAUUCAUCAAGAGAUUUCAUCGUGCUAUCCUCGACUUGGGAGCCUUCAACCAUCCUCAGGCAUUAAGGAGAUUGAAAGAAUGGGUGAAGAUAGGAAGGUUGUGGUACAACUUGAGGAGCCCAGUUAUUCAUAUGUAUGCAGCCGCUUACGAGCAGGCUAAGAGGGACAUAGAAAUUGAGGAGGAAAAGGCAGCAUGGAUAAAAACAAACCAGCUAAAAGGGUUGGGAAGGAAAGAGAAGAGAGCAUUACCAGGAAAUGAGCCAAUCAAGAGGAGGGACUACCAUACCUCAGGUAGUGGUACAGGAGGUCGGGUCACCGCUUACCAGCCUCAUCAGAGGCCAUCACAAUAUCAGUGCAGCAGGGCGCAACCUCCUCGUUCACCAGCUAGGGAACCUUGGAGAAGGCAUGACUCAGCAUAUGGUCAUCCUUAUCCACACCCCCAUGGUAGUAGAAGGAGCAGACUAGAAGCACUGCUGCCUCCUCCAGUUCAGAAUGGCACAAGCAAGGAAAGGGCAGUGCACAUGAUCGACCAGAACUAGGACUAUAGGCGGUAUACUUCCUUGAAGAUCGCCCUGGACGAGGUGUACGAGACCAUAAAGGACCGGAGAUUAUUGUACCUCCCUGCCCCAAUAACAAAACUACCCAACAGGAGGGAUAGGGGACGCUAUUGUAAGUUCCAUGGCACUCAUGGCCAUACCACAACAGAAUGCAAGGAGCCCAGUUAUUCAGACGUAUGCAGCCGCUUACGAGCAGGCUAAGAGGGACAUAGAAAUUGAGGAGGAAAAGGCAGCAUGGAUCAAAACAAACCAGCUAGAAGGGUUGGGAAGGAAAGAGAAGAGAGCAUUACCAGGAAAUGAGCCAAUCAAGAGGAGGGACUACCAUACCUCAGGUAGUGGUACAGGAGGUCGGGUCACCGCUUACCAGCCUCAUCAGAGGCCAUCACAGUAUCAGUGCAGCAGGGCGCAACCUCCUCGUUCACCAGCUAGGGAACCUUAGAGAAGGCAUGACUCAGCAUAUGGUCAUCCUUAUCCACACCCCCAUGGUAGUAGAAGGAGCAGACUAGAAGCACUGCUGCCUCCUCCAGUUCAGAAUGGCACAAGCAAGGAAAGGGCAGUGCACAUGAUCGACCAGAACUAGGACUAUAGGCGGUAUACUUCCUUGAAGAUCGCCCUGGACGAGGUGUACGAGACCAUAAAGGACCGGGGAUUAUUGUACCUCCCUGCCCCAAUAACAAAACUACCAAGCAGGAGGGAUAGGGGACGCUAUUGUAAGUUCCAUGGCACUCAUGGCCAUACCACAACAGAAUGCAGAGAUCUUAAGACCCAGGUAGAAUAUUUGGUGAGAAAUUGAUACCUGGACGAGUUUAUAGAUAGGACUUUUCCGAUGGUGGCCUCGACAUGUGAAGGGGAGCAGAGUAACAGGAACUUGAGCCACGAGUAGCCUAUAGUAAGAGUGAUUACUGGGGGCCAACGUUGGCCGGAGAUUUCAACAGAUCGGGGAAGAACUAUGCUAGAUAUGCCAUGACUAGUAAAGAGGUAUUCUUCAACACCCCAACAACCAAACGAGCAAGAGUCAGGCAAAUGCCAAUCAUGUGGACAGAAGAGGAUGAAGAAGGGAUUUUAUAUCCACAUGAGGAUGCCCUAGUCAUCAAGGCCACUGCUGCUAGCAAGAAGUUUGACCGGAUACUGGUUGACACAGGGAGCUCAGUUGAUAUGUUGUUUAAGUCAACUCUGAAAGAGAUUGGAAUAGCAGACUUGAGAUUGGAGCACACCAAUACCUCCUUGAAGGGAUUUGGAGGAGGAAAGCUGGUCCCUCUGGGCGUGGUCGAGCUACCUAUCACGAUCAGUAACCCCUCGACAGAAAGGACUAUGAUACUGGAUUUUGUGGUGGUCGAUGAAGAGGGUCCUUAUUAGAUGAUCCUAGGUCGCCCAUUUCUGAGGAUGAGCAAAGCGGUACUGUCCAACCAUUAUCUAGCUCUCAAGUACCGGGUGAAUGGGGUAGUUGGAGUGGUACGAGGAGACUAGAGAAUCGCCCGAAGUUGUUAUUCCUCGGCAGCAAGGGAAGCAAUGCAGAUAACAUCCCUUGAUACCCGAGUGGGAGCCAAGAAUGGCAGACAGGAACCUGUAGAGGAGCUGGAGAUAGUAAGCCUGGGACAAGGGGAUCCUGGAAAAACAAUCCGAAUUGGGAGGGGCCAUAUAGGGUCAAGCAGCUAGUUGGACAUGGAGAUUACAAGUUGGUUCGCACGGAUGGCCACGAGGUGAAACGCCAAUGGAACGUAGCACACCUCAGGAAAUAUUUCCAGUAAGACUUGUUCAUGUUUUAAAGUUAUUUCUGUUCGCGCUCGUUGUUAUUUAUUUUAUGUCAAAGCAAUCUCAUGUAAGCCGAAUUUAGCGAUAAAUGAAUCUAUGAGGAAUUUUAGUCAACUGUACUGUUACAAAAGUUUCGAAGGCAUGCAAAGGCUCACCAGGUCUCAAAGCCUGUUUUAUGGCGAGACCAGAAGCCAAGCGUGCCAGGAUCUGCUCGACCAAGCAAAGGCGAGCAGACUCCCAAGCGUUGUAAAAUUUCUAAGACAUUUAAAGCCUCACCAAGUCUCAAAGCCUGUUUUAUGGCGAGACCAGAAGCCAAGCGUACCAGGAUCUGCUCGACCAAGCGAAGGCGAGCAGACUUCCAAACAUCGAAAAAACUUCUAAGGCAUGUAAAGGCUCAUUAAGUCUCAAAGCGUGUUUACGACAAGACUAGAAGCCAAGCGUAUCAGGAUCUGCUCGACCACGAGAAGGCGACCAGAAUCCCAAACGUAAAACAAUUUACGACUACAAGACAAGAAAGCAAAUAAGAACAUUCUUAUUAAUUUUUCAACAAUCAUAAAAAGCUGCUAGCCAUAACAUACAGUGUUCCAAAAAGCAACUACAACACAAGAUACAUUCAGGAGGACGGCGGGUCAGUAAGUCGAGCAGCCUCGGUUGCCUGGUCCACCUCAGGUGCAGGGGGGUAUCACCAGUUGCAUCCGGGGGGGUACUCGCCUCAGCAACAUCAGCAGGGAUUGCACGAGGAGGAGAGUUUCCCUCCUCAACCGCAAUUGGCUCCACCUCUUCGACAUCCUCUUUUGCUGCCUCCUCGUCCAUUUGUUGAGCAACACCAGCAGCAAGGUCAUCCAUCUUCAGAUCAGGAUACUGCUUCCCUAAAACGGCCAUGAUGCAGUGAUAAGAAUGCCGCAGACCUUGGUCAUAUUGGUUGUCAGCUUCCUUCUCUAGAUUCUCGACCUGAACCUGGUAAGAGUCCUUGAGGGAUUCGAGCUGAGCCUCAUAGGUGGCCUUCUGCCUCUGCAGAUCCUCCUUGACCCUGAUCAACUCUUCCUCAAGAGUAAUGGCCUUUGCUUGAGCGAGAGAUUCUUGCUCUAUCAGCUUCAAGUUCUCAAGAUUCAGGUCUCCUGCUCUCUUCUCGGCAGCAUCAGCCUUGGUCAUCGCCGAUUGAAUGUCCUCCUUCAUCUUCCAGUCAUAGCGGCCAACCUUGGCCUUAUAGUAAGUGGCCAUGCAGCCGAGAUGGAAAGCACUAAACUGCAUGGCUCCCACCAGCUCGCCCAGAGUGCUAUCAUCAAAGUCCUCCAGGUCCCUCUUGCUCACGAGUUUAGAAAACUCGUUGAUAUAGGGGACCAAAUGUUCUGCUCGACUGUCAGAUAAACGAGAUCUCGGCCCGACUGGAGGAGAAGAGGAAGCGGGAUCACUAGCUGCUCCGCUAGUUUCUCCGACUUUGGCAGGAGGAGGUGGUAGAGUCUUCAAUGGAGGAACCUGCUGCACAAUGUUCACCCGCUUCACAGUGGGAGCGUCCUUAUUCUAGUCCUGCUUAGUAGUAUGAGGUCGAGAACAUUUCCGAUUCAGAGCCCCGAUCACAGCGUCCUCCAUCCCAAAGUCAGUGGACACCAAACGAGAUUCAAGCAAGUUUUAAGUGGUUAGCAACUCUCGGUGCAAACAGGAAUUGGCCAAUACAGCCUCGACCCGCUUGAGUGGCCCAGAUUUAAGCGAGUAGUGCACACUCCAAGAACUUGAAAUUUGAGCAGAUAUUGGAUUAGAGACAAAUCAGUAAAAUGAGAACGACUAUGAAGACAAGAAAUCUGAAGUGAGCAUGCAACCUGGGACCACGAAACAGGGUGGGACGCGGUAAUCCUUCCCGUCAAUCUGUGCAACUUGACCCCAGGGACCCCCAGUAAAAAAGAAUUUUUUCUUCCAAGUGCCACCACCACCAGUUGGAAGAUCAGUUAUGGGUUUUUUGGUCUUGGUACUAGAUUGGAAGUAAUACCAGCCGGCAUCUUUAGGGCUGCUCUUUAGCUAGUUCAGGUGCUUCACCUCGUCAACUGUUGGCUCGCUUUGACAACAUCUGUCCCACAAUAUGAACAGACUAGAAAGUACCCGCCUCCCAUUGGGGUUCAGUUGACCAGGAGCUAAAUUCAACCCAUUGAGUAUUCGAGCAAAGUAGGGCUGUAUGGGGCACCUCAGCCCAAAUUUAAAACUAUCUAGAAAUAGAGUAACAUAUCCCCUAGGAGGCCGGUUGGGGGUAUCCUUCUUUCCUGGGACCCUAAGAGGUAUCUCAUCGGGAAUUCCAUACCUAAUCCGGAGAUUAGUGAGCUCGUCUACCGUGGUCGUGCAUGUGAUGAAAUCAAUAGCGUAGUGCUGUGAUAGAGCUUUACCCCCUACUGUGCUCUUGUUAUCUGGUCGCGAUGUUCCUGGUGGAGAUGUUUCACCAGAAUCAUCCUCCUGGUCUUCACUUAAGGUGUCUUCCGAACCAGAAGAACCCUCGUCGUCGCUAUUACCGGUUGAGGAGGUUAUUGGGGGGGGGACAUCCUCCUAGCACUAGUUCCAACACUAGAUCUAAUGGGUUCUAAGGGGAUCUCGGGGUCAAAGGCAGGACCGACGAGCAGACUAGGCAAGAAGCCUAACUCAUCGUCAUCAAUCUCAAUAACUUUCUCUUUGCCUUUUGACAUUCCCUAAACUAUAACCAGAGCAGUAUCACCAAACACUACCCAAACAAGACAGAGAGAAAAGAAAUUGUCUACAACUAUUCAAGACCAAGGAGAUAGAAAUAAUACCUGAAGUUGUAGCUCAGUCAAAGAGAGACAGGGAUAUAAGCUUUCUAUGCCGAAAAUCCUUCACCGGAGAGACAUAUAUGGAGCAAAUGACGAGUUUCUCUUUUGGGGGUUUUUCGAUUUUCCUAAUGAGGAACAAACGCUUGGGCUACCAGCAUUUAACGGCACUAAUCCAAAGAGUUUCGUAACCAUCGGUUUGAAAUUCAAAUGGAGGGAUAGAUUUCUGCACAUCACCUCAUCCGUAAGUAAAUGCGACACGACUCUUGGCAGCCUUUGCCUACCCCGCACGAGCCAGAACCGUUGAGUUUCUACUGUCGGCUCACUAUGUUACCCAACACCAGAAACUGGGGGACCAGUGUUUGGGGGAUAUACUUUGACGAGACCAGCCGUGAUGAGCAGAGAUCUGGUAGCAGGGGUACGCGAACAGGUAUAUCUUACAGAAGUCUGGUAGCAUGGUAAUAGGAGCAGGAAUAUUCUGCUCGUCCACGAAUACGCCGUCCACGAAUAGGUCUCCUGUCUGAAGCAUAAAACCAUUCCUGCUAGGGGUUGAGGCGAGGAGACCCGGUCAACGACAGUUGGCGAGAUGGGCUCUCAAACUCGAGAAUCAAGGCACGAAGGCCAUGCAGCCACCCACGAUUACGGAAACGGAGCAUCCAUCUUCGAGAGGUGGGAAGAUAACGGGCGUGAAUAGAGGGAAGGUCUGAACUCAGGAGAAGCCUAUAAAAGGGUAGCCCAGGAACACCAAACCUUCAUUUCUGACUUGAGCGUCGGAGGGUUUACGCCGGGAAAACAACCGACGUGCUCUGACUUGUUUCUGUGUACGCAGGGAUUUUUGGAGAAGGAGUCAUACGAGGAGAGAUCCUGAUCGUGGUCGAGUUGAUCGAGCAGAGAUCCUGGUCGUAGUCAAGAGGGUAAUCAGAAUCUCGCAUCAACAGAAAGGUCCAUCCGUCGCUUGGAUUGCUGAAUCGCUCUUUUGGAUAAAUUUUCCGUGCUUUUAACAAAAGAAAAUUAUAGAGAUUGAACAAUUAGCAACAUACAGAAAGUUAAAAUUACUAACAAAUGAGCAAUUAUACUUUUCCAGCAAGUGAUUUCUGCUUUCUUAGACUGUUGAAACGAUUAAUAUGAAACGAGCGAUUGAACAAUUAGAAAGACACAAUGCCCAGCCUGGACUUUUUUUUUUUUUUUUUGGUAGUUUCAAAUGAUGGAUUAUAGAAAGGAUAGAAUGAAAAAUAAGGAUAAAUUGGGAACUAAAUGGGUACACUAAUAAGAAAUAAGAAUAAUUUAUUUUUAAUUGGUCUGUUAAAAGAUGGAGUCUAAUGAAAUAAAAUGAGGAGUUUAAAUAUCACUUUUUCCAUAGAGUUGGCCAACUAGCACUCUUCUAAUUUUUAAUUUUUUUUCUAUCAUUAAAAUUUAAAAUAGUAUUCUCUUCUUUGUUUUAUUUUGCAAUCUUGUUAUGUAUACGCAUAUUUUAAAUCCUAAUUUGACUUAAGUUAUACAGAUUAGAUAAAAUGUUUUUCAGGAAUAAUUGAUUCCCAUGCCCUGAACGUGUUUGAUAAAAUGCCCAUAUAGGAACUCACAAAAUGAACAAGUAAAUGCUGAUGGAAAUCACAACUUUUUCCCCCUCUGGUCAAUAAGAUAAAACAGUACUUGGCUGAGCCUAAGCAGCUAAAAUAACAGCUUGAUUAAUGCUUUUCGCAGCAAGGAACCUACGAAAAAAGCCUUAAAUUAAUUGCUUCCGUCCAGACUCUUGCUUAGUUUACUGAUCACCAUCAUUGUGGUAAUUUUGGCAAAGUGAUUGUAGUCAAUAGCUUUCCUCUGGUUUCUCCCUGAUUUUGUACUAACUUUGGUGUCCGAGACCGCAACUGGUUUCCUGACAACUUGAAACGGGAUUGAUUGAGGUUUUGGAGGCGGCUUUUUAUCGGCUUUAAUUUGAACUUCUUUAAGGAUUCAAGCGAUUUCUUCUUCAAAUUGUCUCAAUCUUUCACUAUCAAACUCAAACAGCAAAUCUUUGUUGUCAUUAAGAUCUUCAUCAAUGAUCCUUUGAAUAAUUUCUUUCGGUUUCUGGAAUAUUGAUCUAAUUAGUGCUUCACCUUCUUCUUUUUUCAAGCUCUUAUCCUGGGCAGUUGUGCUCUGCCUACUCCCGUGGCCUCAAGCAUAGGAUCUACACUAACAGUUGCAUGUUUUCAUUUCUUCAAGUGCUGCAAGAAUAUCCCAUCUCCUUUUUUGAAGUCAAGGUUCUAUUCUCCAAAGCUUCUCUUCAGCAUCUCUCUUCUUUUUCGGCUUGUCUGCUUCCUUAUCCUCCACACGCCGAGGUUCCAAUACAACUUAACCGACUCUUCUCAGGAUUUGGGAGGCACUAGGGCUUUUCUUCUCUUGUCGAACAGGAUCAAAUAUAAACGGUUAAUGUUGAAGCGUCUUUGGUAGGCACCGAUACAGCGAUCAAUAAUUUAGACAUAGAGAGUAAUUGUUUAGGAAUUGUGUAUUAUUCCCAUGUCCAUAACAUGUUUGAUAAAAUGCCCAAGAAGGAACCAUAUGUCCAACACUCCAACCUGUUGCGUUGAACAGAGAUGAUGCAUCUGUUACUCCAACUCUAUGAUUUCCCAAGAAAACAAUCAAUAUGUGAAUGUUUAGGUGCAGAUAGCACAGGCUAGUAGCUUGUAAGAACCAGGCAAAAAGCAGAACAAUUUCAAUUCUUUGAAACAGAGAGCAGUUAAGUAAAUUCAUAAUUUCAUAACAUCUUUUAUAAUUUGCAAACUGUAAUACUUUUAUGUGAAUUGUUGUCAGUGUAGUUCAACAAAGUGUCUCAGACUCAUGGAACAAGAAUGUUGACAAGCUUAGCAAGCAAUGAAUAGUAGAACUGAUCGACAGGGUUGGCAUUAGGUAUAGGGGAACAAGACAGUCGCCUAAGGCCUCAUAUUUUAAGAAGACCUCAUUUUUUGAGUAUUUUCUUAAUAAUUCUCUAAUUAAUAAAAAAAUUUAAUGCGUAUUUUAAGAAAUUAAAAAGUUUAUUAGAUAUCUCUCUAUUCUUCAUUAUCCUACAAUUAAAAAUUAUUUUUUAUUAAAAAAUCUAUAUUUGGGAACCUUAAUUUUAAAGAAAUAUAAUUAAUAAAAAUUAUGCAUUGACAUGGACCUUUAUUUUUUAUGUCUUUGUUCUUUUUUAAGUUGCAGGAAGUGUCGAAACCAAUACCGCAUUUAAGCAUUGUUGUUCCAAGAAGUGAAAUUCCAAUGUGUUUCAGGUAUCAGAAUGAAGGUUCUUCAAUAGCUGUCACAACGCCUUUAUUUUGGCGUAAAAGGAAUGAGGUGGUGGGAUAUGCUAUUUGCUGUGUUUUUAAUGUCCGUAAACAUUCACCUGGUAUCAAAAGUUUGCGCUCAUACCCCACACAUCAGUUGAGCUGCCAUAAGAAAGAUUCUUAUAUCAGUAGUUAUAUUGAUUUUAGGGAAAAGUUCGGUCAAGCGGGGUCAGACCAUAUUUGGCUUUUAUAUUUGUCUCGUGAAGAAGACUAUUUGCGCAAAUGGAAUUUUGAAUCUCAGGAUUUUGUGUUGUCAUUUCAGUCUGAUUCAAGCCCAGGAUUGGAGGUGAAGAGGUGUGGUUUCCAUCGAGUUUAUAAGCACGAAGUGGCGAAGUUCGACCAUGCAACAAACCUAUAGACUCGGUCUAUUGAUUAUAAUCUGAAUGGAAACGUUUGGUCUCGGUUUAUUGAUCAUCUGCAUGAAUUGUGUCAAAAUCGAGCUCAGCUCAACAAUGUAUGUACGGGGUCGGUUAAUUGAUUAUCUGGAUGAAAACCAAGGGGAGGAUUUCGACCAAACAACAAACCAAUGGACUUGGUUGGUUUCUUGAUCAUCUGAUUGAAUUUUUUCCAGAUGCAGGAAAGUUCAACCAAGCAUGUUAUUUGUUUUUUUAUUAUAUCCAAAUGCAAAGAGGAGUCCGAGACCUCUGGAGUCUGCGAAGAGCUCUCAAAAUGAAGGGAGUAAGGCCCAGCAGUCGAUACGAUUUCGUAGACAUAAUCUUUAUGAAGAUUUUUUUUUCCUUUGUUUAAUUGCUUGUUAUUUAAUUUUUUUUUGAAACUUUGGCUGAAAAUUUUAAAUUUUAUGAAGUUAAAAUUGUAAUUAUUAUUUUUGGAAAAAAGUUGUGUGCCAUUUGUUGUGACUUCUAUUUGCUAUCACAAUUUGUUUUUUUAAAAAAAUGAUUAUUAUUUUAUUUAUUAAUUUAAAAAUAAAAAAAUUAUACAAUUUUGGCUUCCUCAAUUUAAAAUUUAAUUUAUAAAAUUUAUAUGAAAGAAAAUAAAUUAAUAAAUGUAAUUAAAUUCAAAACCAAUAAACUAAAUUAUUGAACUUUAUUAUCCAUAAAAACAUCCAGUACUUCUAAAUUUCGAAAACAUACAAUUCAAACUUUACAAUACAUUAGUUAAAUCAAUAUUUCAAAGUCAAGCCAAUGUAGGGAUGGCAAUGGGGCAGAUAUGGGUUGGAUCUACUCUGCUCCGGAUCCAAAUCCAUAAUAAAAAUAAAGAUCCGUAUCUGCUCCAGAUCCGUCAUGAAUUUAUAUUUUUCGCUCCAUAUCCAGAUCCAAAAAAGAAAUAAAUAUCUAUAUCUGCUCCAAAUCCAAAAAAAAAAAAUUAAAAUCCAAAUCUGCUCUAGAUCCGUUAUGAAUUCUAAAAUUCAGUAAUAAAAAAGUAAUAAUUUUUUAGAUUGAAAAUUGAAGGGUAAAAUGUAUUGAUAACAAAUAAAUCAUAUAAUUUUUCUCAAAAAUAUAAUAAAUAUUGUAGCUUAUACUUUUACACCAAAACAACAAAUAAGAAAGAUAAUAAAAUAUCAUUCCGAAGUAAUUGCAGGAGUAAGAUCAAUCUAAUAUUCUAUUGUCUCCUUCAUCAUUCUAAUAUCCACGAUACACCUACCCUCAUUCCUACAACAUUAGAUAAUGACAUAUAAAUUAAAUAUGGUUUAUAUUCAGUCCUUUAUUAUUUUUAUUAUGACCAUAUUUGACUAAAUAUAUGAAUAACUAUAUUCCUUAAAAAUUAUUUGGCCAAUAUAAUAAAAUAAAUUGCCAGGUUAUAUUACUUGGCUUGCAAUUUGAAUAUUGCAUAUACAUGCUUUGGGGCUGGCUGACCUUUAAAUUUACAAAACUAACCUUUAAGUUUUAAGAGUUUAAAUACAUGGUAAAUACUACUAAUAUGUUAUGAAUAAAAUUUAUUAUCAUUAUAAUUUCACAAUUGUUAAGAAACUUUUAAAAUAACAUAAAAUUAAAAUAUGAGUGGAUAUGGAUAUGGAUUUAGAUAUUAAGAUAGAUCCAAAUCUGCUCCAGAUCCAUCUUAGAUCCGCACAUCAAUAUCCAAAUCCGAUCCAAAUCCAUUUUAAACCGAUCUAAAUCCAAUCCGAUUGGAUUUGGAUCACGUGGAUCUUGGAUCCGAUCCAAUCCAUUGCCAUCCUUAAGCCAAUGGCCAACAAAGGCCAAUCAAAAAUCUAAGUAAUGUACUCAGCAUUCAGCAAUAUCCAGCACCAAAGCCAUGCAAAAUGUAGUCCUUUUCCAGCAGCAGCAAAGCCAAGUAAAACGUAUCCCAUUCCAUCAAUUGAAAAUAUUAAGUGAAAAAUAGGCAUUUAUUCAUGGAAAUAAUAAGAACAAUGUCUUCAUAAAGGAAAAAGAUACAAGUAAAUAAUAGAAUAUGAAAAUAUUUAGUGAAAAAUAAGCCAAGACCCCUUUUUUCCAUUCUCUGAAGUAAGGCAUUAAAAAAGAUUAAAGAAAUUAUGAUUGUUUCCGCACUUGGAGCAGGUAGAGACAAACUCUGGUCAUUUACUGUUGCCUUGGCACCAUUUGAAUAUGCCCUGCUUUUUUUUUUUUUGAACAGUCUUUAAGCAAGUUGAGAUUCAUGAGACUUAGCAAUUCCAUAAGCCUGAUCAGAACACCAGAUUUCUCAGGGGUUCCAAAUUUAAAGGACCUGGAUCUUGGAGGAUGUACAAGAUUGCGUAACAUUCACCCUUCAUUGCUACUUCAUAAGAAAGCUUAUUUUAUUGAACCUUAAAGACUUCAGUAAUCUUACUACUCUUCCGAGCAAGAUGAAGAUGAAAUCCCUAAGAAAACUUGUACUUUCUGGUUGCUCUAAGCUGAAGAACUUUCUGGAGAUUGUGGGAACUGCGGAAUGUCUGUUGGACCUUUUUCUUGAUGGAACAGAUAUUAUGGAACUACCACCAUCAAUCCGGUUUCUUUUUGGACUUACUUUGUUGGAUUUGGAAAACUGCACCAAUCUUGUGGUACUUCCAAGUACUAUAAAGGGUUUAACAUCUCUUGAAAUGCUGAAUCUCUCUGGCUGCUCCAAAUCUAAAAAUGUUUUAGAGAGUUCUGAAAAAGUAGAAAGCUUUGAGGAGCUUGAUUUGACUGGAGCGGCUUCAAGGAACCGAGUGUGGUCCAUAUUUUCUAUGAAGAAUUUUGAAGCACUGUCUUUUCUUGGUUCCAAAUUAUCACAAUCAUCAACGUCACGUUAUUUGCGCUUCCCCAUCAAUUGGUUUCAAUCAAGGAGUUCACGUCCUUUAUCUUUGAAGUUGCCUUCUCUGUCAAAUUUGUGUUCAUUAAGGAAAUUGGAUCUCAGUGACAGUAAUUUGGGGGAAGGAGCAAUCCCCAGUGAUAUUGGCAACUUAUGCUCAUUAAAAGAGUUAUGUUUGAGUAGAAACAGUUUUGUUUCGCUACUGGCAAGCAUUCUUAAGCUUCAAGAACUGGAGUUGGAAGAUUGCAGAAGGCUUCAAUUUUUGCCACAACUUCCACCCAACAUAGAGCACGUUUGAGUAAAUGGCUGUAUUUCGUUGGGAUCAUUAGCAGCUGAAUUGAAAUUAUGCAAGUCAGAGUACACGUUAAUUAGAUGUAUGGACUGCUUGAGAAUGCUCGGUACCAAUAAUCUGGCAUUUUCAUUACUAAAAGAGUACCUCGAGGUCAGCCUCUCACUUUAUAUCUAUCAGCUGUUUAGGCAAUGGCAUAUUUUUAUUUUUAUAGUUAUUAUAAUUAUUUAUUUUUUUUAUUUUUGGGUUUCAGGCAAUGUCAAAUUCACGAUUUAGCAUUGUUGUUCCGGGAAGAGAAAUUCCAGAGUGGUUCAUGUGUCAGAAUAAUGGUUCCUCAAUAACACACGGAUGGCCUUCAUAUAAGUAUAAAAAGAAUAAGGUGGUGGAAUAUUGCAUUUGCUGUGUUUUUCGUGUCCAUAAUCAUCUACCUCCUGCCAGAGGGAGAAUACACCUCAACGCAUAUCAGUUGAAGUUCCGUAUGAAAGAUGGAGGAUAUUUUAUUGAUUUUGGAAAGAAAUUCGGUCAGUGUGGGUCAGACCAUCUCUGGCUACUCUAUUUUUCUAUUCAAUACUGCAAUGACCAGAAUUGGCAUCUUGAGUCAGAUCUUGUUGAGUUGUCAUUUUGGCCUGACACGGGCCCAAGAUUGGAGGUGAUAAGGUGUGGUUUCCAUCCAGUUUAUAUGCAUCCAGUGAAGGAGUACAACCGAACAACGUACCAAUGGAAUCGUGUUACUGCUUACAAUCUGAAUGGAUGCCAUCAGAAUUUUGAUGGAUCAAAGCCAAGUCUUAUUGAAUACGUUGGGUCGGAAGCCAGAGGAAGCGACUGUUGUGAUGAUGAGGAACAGCAACAACGGCCUAAAGAGUUAGAGAACUCAAAUAAAAGGUGAAGCUUACGUAUUAUUCUCUGGAUUUGUCAGCCAGUGUGCAUUUGAACACAAUUUCAGUUUAUGAAUUUUGUCAAGAGUUGAAUUUUGCGAUUUCUCAUUAGUUGAAAAGUAAUGAAAGAGGGGAAAAAAAAACUUACAAGACUGAAAUGAAUCCUCUGUUUUUUUGAUUUUUUAUAAAUAUAGUACACAUUUAACUGAAAACCAUUAAUUUUACAACAACAGUACCUUUAUUUUAUUUGCAUCAAAGGCAUGAAAAUGACUCGCUGAGGGGUUUUGAUCUUGAAUGAGAUGAGGAGUUAACUAUGAGGUAAUGACUCACAAUCUUACAUUCCCUACUUAUUGCACGAAAGAUGCCGGAUGCAGAGCUAGUUUUCGGUAUACUUGAAGGGGCUGCGUAAUGAUUGAUUUAUAAAGGAAAAUGGAAUGUAAUAAUAAAUGUAAGAUUAAAAUUUUUCUAGUGGUGUUUAGAAGAUUUUCAAUGUUUAAACAGCUAAGCUAGCCUUACCAUAAGGAUCAUAUCAUAUAUUUGAUAUAAUAUCGUUUAUUUUUUUUUCUGUUUCAUUAAUCUUAUUUUAAGUUACAGUGUAUACAAAAUUUCCUGGAGGAUGUUCAGACGGCAGUUUUGUCAGCUAUUUAAUAAACUAAAGAAGCACAUCUUUUUCUUGAGAUAACGAGUGCCGUGCGAGGAUGAAAUUUUAUAAUAUUUAUUAAAUUCUUUGAAAUUUGUCAGUUUUUCUUUUACCCCCCAAGGAAUCUUCUAUUGAAACUUUUGAUUGGGCAAAAGAUGUGAAGCCUAUCACCUACUAAAUAACAAGAAGAGCAGACAAAGGAAAUAUGUCAAAGAAAAUAUGGAGGGGUUGGUUUGUUCCAUGUAUCUUCUUUGUCAUAAUAUUUUUUUAUUCAAUUAAAGUCUAAAUAUUUUUAUUUUUUGGCAAGACACUUUUGAUCUAACCUGCCGUUGGCAUGUAAAAGAAAAGAAAUAAUUAAUGUGAUUUCUGCGAAUUUUCAGGGACUUAAUCAUGAAUAUUAAAAGAGGCUCUUCAACUGUCACAGCUUCUUUCUCUUAUUGGCCGCAUGAUGUGUUCUUAAGCUUUAGAGGCGAAUAUGUCUGCAAGAACUUCAUGGAUCAUCUCCAUGCUGCUUUGAAUCAAAAUGGAAUUAAUGUUUUCGGGGAUGACAAAAAACUUGAGAGAGGAAAAGAUUGGUAUGGUUAAAUUGGAGUUAGUGUGAACGUAGUAGCAAAUCAAUUUCAUAGUAUAUAUAAAUUACUCCAAACUAUGCAAUAUUCAUUUCAUCAAAUUGAAGUCAUAUAAUUAAGUAACAUGCUAUAGUUACGUCAGAAACAAUUGGAACGAGAAAAUUCAAACCCAACACUACUACAAAAUUAUUUAAUUUCUUCUGCUAUUUUUUUCUCAAUUAUUAAUAACCAAUUAAACACAUCAUCUCCACUGACCAGCUUAGCCAUUAGAUCUAUUGGCUGAAUUAGAAAAGGACAUUGUUUGCAGUACCUUGAAACUGUAGCUGGACCCUAAUUUAUAUAUAUAUAUAUAAUAUUAAUACAGUACUUAAUUACAUUUCUGUUUCGUGUAUAAUUUCCUGGAAGAUGGUCCAACAGCAGCAAUAUUUUUAUAUUUUUAUUAUUUGAUCAUAUCAUCAUAUCAACAACAGCAAUAUUACUUAAAGUAUCAUCAUAUCAUAUGUUUGAUCUUAUCUCAAUUAUAUUUAUUUUUUUAUUAUUUCAUUUGUCGUAUUUUAGUUUCUUAGUAUUUAUUUUACAUAUAAAUAAUUCAUAAAUAUUUGCAUUUCUGUUUCACACAUACUUUCCUAGAAGAUAUUCCAACAGCAGAUUAAACAAACAAAAUGAACUGUUGUGUCACCUACUCAAGAACAAGAAGAAGAGACAGAAAAUAAAUAAAUAAAUAAAUACAAUAAAGAAAAUGAUCAGUGGGGAGGUUGGUUUAUUCCACGUAUCUUCUCUGUCAAGACUACUUUAAUUGUUUCAUUAAAUAGUCUAAAUUAUUAUUAUUAUUUAACUAUAUUUGAAAAAAAAAAGUUUCGGUGUUUAGAUUAUUGAAGCUUUUGGUAUCUUUGACUAUGUCUUUGAUUCCAUUCUCCAUCGUAGAUCAUAGUCACUCUUUAUAAUUAUCUUUUGCAAAAACUUUUGAGGAGACUUGCAACCGAAAAUGAAGGAAUUAAUUAGAAGGCAUGAAACCCUCUUGUUGAUUUCUUUGAAACAAACUUAAUUGGAAUCCAAAGUAAAGAAAGUUAGCGAAAUUACAAAAUUGCUAAGGUGCUUUACAAAAUUCGUGAUUUCCAAGCAUUGACAGAUAAUGCAUUAACUAAUGCAGAAAUGAUCAAAUUACAAGCCUCACAGGUUGCUAUGUUUCUCUUGAAGGAUGAUUCAAAUUCCCUAUGUUUGUUAGUUAAGUGGCUGACGUGGACUCCACUUACAAGUUUUAUCUGAGUUGAAUCUCUUGACCACUGCUUGUAUAAAAAUCUGAAAAAUAACUUACAACUUCUGAAGUUUGUAACCAAAGAUGCCUCCAAUUAUUUCUGAGAGAAAUGGACAGCUUUUGAAAGGAAUUUAGAUCUAUGAAAAAUAAAUGUAGGCAAUUAAAAAUCAAAAAUUAAUUUUCUGGAAGUACUGUUUACUGUUACUGUUUACUGCAACUGUUCACAAUUACUGUUUACGAUUACUGUUCAUCCGCAUAAAAAAUAUUAAUUUUCCAAAAACACAAUAAAAAGUAAAAUAAAUGACACGAAGAUUUUUACGUGGUUUGGAUUAAUCAAUCCUACAUCCACGAGGCCACGCCCAGAUGAAAAGCAAUUCACUAAGUUAAAAUGUUACAACCUAUGGAUUUACCAAACUUAAGACUCUGACUUACAGUUUAUCAUCAUACAGUUUACUUAACCUUAGACUGAAUUUGGUUCUCCUGAAUAAUUGCUACCCCUCUUGAUCCACGAUCCUCAAGGCACUUCGCAAAGUGAUCAAUAGCAAUUCUUCAAUUCUUCUACGUCUAGUGAUCCAAGAUCCACAUAGAUUCUUCACAGAGAUGAAAAGAAGAUAAGAAAACAAAUCAGAGAUAAGAAAACAAAUCAACACAACAUUAUGCGCCAAAUCCGGAUUCUCUAGGGAGGAGGCCGAAUUUUGCUUCUCUGCAUUAUGCUCUGUGUCGUGCAUAUAUAUCUUCAAUUAUGAAAUACUUCUCUUUAUAUAGGCACUAGGGUUUCACCAAAAUAGAAAGUCUUAAAAGACUUGGAUUCUUUCCAAAUAAGAGUUUCUUUCCUCUUAUAAUUCUCAUGAAUCUGAAUAGGAAUAAAUCUGAUCUUCUUGUCUUGCUUUCUCUCAAGAAAUAUCUAGAGCAUUUAAUGAACUUCCUGUUUGAACCAACUUCUUGCUCUAAAUAGAUCUCAUGCGUCAAGUAUAGAAUCCCACCAUUCAUUGACUUGCUAAAUUAGACAUCUAAUUAAAUUAGGAAACAAAUAUUCCUAAUAAAUUGGAAUCUCACUAAAUUAGGGAAUUAAUAAAUUAAUCCCUAUUACAAUAUAUGCAAUAAACAAACUUCUAAUUUAACUAGACUUGUCAUAAAAUACCAACUCUAUAAAUAAUGACCUUAACAACUUUAAACCUUUCUUCUCAAGCUUUAAGCAACUUCAAAGAAAAAUGUCAAGCCUUCAACCCUUACUUUCCAAUCUUUACUUAUUUUAAUGAGAAAUACGUCAAUGCUAAUUCGCAUAUUUUGAUGUUUGAUUAAUUAUUGAUAUCAACCGUUGGAUUCCAUUCCAUUUAAUGGAAUCCAAUGGUUUCAACAUGGGUAUUGAAGAGUGGGCGCUUCGCUUAAUCGGUUAUUUGAAAUCUUAUAAAAAUUUAAUAGAAAGAUUUACUAAAUGCAUACGACUAUUUUUAAAACUCACAAAACUUUUGAAAAUAAAUUUAUCAAACAUCUAAUUAAUUAUCUUUACAGAUGAUUAUUUAUACCACACAGUUAAUGACAAUUAAAACUACAACAUUAUUAAUUUGAUCCAACAUCUCCUAAGGACUCAAACGAAGUUUUACUAAUGAAAGGUUUCUAAUAAAAGGUUUACCAUUCCUAUAGAUUGCCGGCAAUUUAAAUAUUUUUAUCAAUUACUGAUAUCAACCGUUGGAUUCCAUUCCAUUUUAAUGAAAUCCAAUGGUUUCAACGUGGCUAAUGGGUAAUCAUAUUGAGUUGUCGUUUAAAUCCCCCUCAAUUCGUGAAUUGAAGGUGAAGAGGUGUGGCUUCCAUCCAGUUUAUGUUCAUGAAGUGGAGGAGUUUGACCAAACGACAAAGCAAUGGACUCACUUUACCUCUUAUGAUCUGAAUGAAUCCCAUCAUAAUUUUGUUGGAUCAAAUAUGGAAGUAGCCACAACAUCAAAGCGAAGCCUUGCAGAAAAUGGAGUGGCAGCUGAAGCCAGUGGCAGUGGUUGCUGUGAUGAUGAUGACGAACCACCACGUAAAAGAUUUAAACAACUCAAAUGAAGGGUAAAGCCUGGUGUAACAGUGAGAGUACGCAUCCCAAUUUCAAUUUAUGUUCUUUAAAUUUGCAUAUGGUAUUUCAUUUACUUUUUAUUUGUCCAUUUAUUGUAUCUACUUUGGCAAUUUAUUUUCGUGUUAAAUUGAAGCAUUGAAUUUUGUGAUUUCUCAUGAGUUGAAAAUUAAAGAAAGAGGGAAAAUUAAUCCUUUGUUUUUUAUACAAAGAUCAUAUCAUAUAUUUGGCCAAAAAGAUUUUUGGCAAAAAAAUAUUGUUCAUGGCUGUCUUCAGUGUGAACAUUUGUGAUUUUUAUCUCUUUUAUUUUGAUGUUGGAAUUUUUUUGGUCUGAAUUUAACUAUGCUUAUUUAAUUUAGGUUUUUUUACUUUUGUUGAACCGUGUUGAUUCUUUUUAUGUUGGAUUAUUGACACCCCUCUAAUCUUUUCAUAAAACCUUAUUAUUAUUAUUUUUUCCAAUUAUUCUUAUUUUUUAUUCCAAAAAUGUCCCUUUUUAAUCACUCAUCUAAUUUUUAAUCUUAUUUUCUUAUCGAAGUUGAGGUCUAGCUUCACAGCUAAGCUUUUCUAACACCUAGGUUCUCGUCUUGAUCUUUAAUGGAUGCGUGAGUUAAUUUAAAAAUGUCUUUUAUUAUUUUCUUGUUGAUUCUUUUCAAGGAGUUGGAUUAUUGCCACACCUCUAAUAUUCUCAUAAGACUCUUGUUUUUUUUUUUAAUUAUUCUUUCUUUUAAGGGAAAACGACAUGUACACCCCUAGGUUUGAAGAAAUGGUCACCAACACCCCUUUUUGACUAUUAUGCCAUUUUAAAAAGUUUUAAAUUUUUAAUAAAUUGAAAUAGUACAUAAAUAAUGUAAUCUAUGCAAUAGACUAAGAAUAUUAAAAUAACUUAAUAUUUUAAUAAAUUUUAAUAUGUAUAUUGUUAUAUUUAUUUACUAAUAUAUAUUUAUUUAUUUUAGAUAUUUUAAAUAAAUAUUUGCAUUAAAUAUACUUUACAAUAAAACAAUCUCACAUACUAAUGUUAUUAUUAUUUUACAUAAUAUUCAAAAUAAUUUAAAUUUUAAUACACUUGUUUUAAUAUUAUGAUUCUAUUUAUUAUAAAAUUUAAUGUUAUAUAAUAAAAUAUAUCUAAUAGAUUGUAAAAUAUUAAAAUAUUUUCUAAGUAUUGAAAUUAUUUUACAAUGUAUAUAUUAUUACAUUUAUUGGAGGAAUUAAUUAGAAAGCAUGAAAUCCUCUCAUUGAUUUCUUUGAAACAAACAAAAUUGAAAUUAUCUUUAUUGAGAGGAAUUAUCUUUGGCAAAGUAAAUUUUCAUCAUCUUUCAGUGCGUCCAACACGCUCAAAGCAUUACGUUUUCUCGCAGUUUUGUAUUCCAACAUUGCUUCCCAUGAAUGUUUUGUUGCGGAAGUGUGAGAUCCAGCAAUUACCAAUAUUACGAUGACUAUAACUUUUGGAGAAAUAUAAAUGUGACAAACAAAUACAAAAAAAAUAUGACACAAUAAUUUACGUGGUUCGGCGUAAUGCCUUUGUCCAUGAGCAAAGACUGUGAGAUAAUUUUACUAAUAAUAAGAAUUUACAAAAGUAGGAAAAAUUCACAAAAUCCACAACCCCAAUACACCCAAAUAGAACCUCAUUAAAACACUCAAGUGGAAACUCUCUCAAAGAACUCACUUGCAAUUGCUCUCUACUUCUCUCAAAUUGUAAUGCUUUACAAAUGCAUUCUACUACUCUAUUUAUAGGCAAAGCUUACAAUAUGAAUGCAUGAAAAAAAAAAAAAAUUUGCCAUUUUCAAUUUUAAUGGCUUUGGUGUGACUUUUAGUGAAGAGAUCAUGCUAGCACAUGCAAUUGGAUCACGCUAGCGCAACAUUGGUGUGCUUGAAAUUUGCAUGCUAGCUGGCUCAUGCAAGCAUGCUUGACUUUUCAACAUGUUUGUCUUACAUUAUUAUGUAUUAAGUGUUUUUUUUCUUUUUUUCUUUUUUUUGGAUGUGAUAGAUUAAGUGUUUCUAAUCACUCAAAUAGUCAAUAUUAGAGGAGAUUAUGUUCUCUUCUUUGCUGAUUUUGAUUAUUUAUGUACAGUUUUUUUGGUACUUGUUGAGUUGGAACUCAAUGUGAGUACACAUUUUUUUCCCCAACAACACAAAAAAACACAAUUGCUUCUUCAACUUCUUCUCUUAUUCAUAUGCUGAAAAAAAGAAGAACAUUGAACAAUCCAUUGAAGAAAGAAGGCAUUUAUAUUGUGAUCAAAAGGAGGUUUUCCACUUGUGAUUUCCUUUAAGCCAUUAACGUGAUCCAACAUUCGAUCAUUCCGCUACAAGACUCGUGAAGAAAGGUAGGGUCUUGAAUCCUUUUAUUUUCUUUUAAUUUAAGAGGCAUUUACUCAUAAAAAUCCUUUGCUUUUCAUCAAAACAAAUAUAUUUGCCUUAUUAGCUUAAGUUCUCUUUAAGCAAAGCACUUCAUUGGAAUUCAUUAACUUACAAAAAACCUCUCUAUUUAAGAUUUGCUCAGGCACACUCUUCCGUCAGGAUCUGAAAAGUCAAAUUUUCUAAUAUAGUUUGGGAUUUGUGGUAUGAUAUUUUCUUUUCUUUAAAGAAAGGAUAACAUAAAAUUGUGUAAGAUCAAUUAAAGUAGAAAUUUGAUUCAUACGUAACUAUAACUUAAGUGAUCACAUAAUAGUUGAUUUCUUUUUACAAAUUCGACAUGCUUAUUUCUUUUUUGUAUAAUUUUUAUUUUAUUUUAUUUUUACUAUAGUAAGCCGAAAAUUGAUAUUAUAUUUUAAAAAUAAAAAUAAAAAUAUUAUUAAUAAAAAUAAACUAAAUAUAUUAUAUUUUAAAAAUAAAAAUAAAUAAAAAUAUAUUACUAAUAUAAAUAAUAUAAAUUUAUUAUUCUUGACUAAUAUAAAUUUAAAAAUAAAUAUAAAUCAGUUAAGGGUUAGUGACGUGUCCAAGUUUGUUAACCGUGGUAGAGCGAAGAGUUAGAGAGGGUUUAUUGAGCUCACGCUCUUCCUUGUCAUUUCCUCGGUGAAUUUUUAUGGGUUUAAAUACUUGAACCUCGGAAUUGAGGCUACAAUGCUUAGUGCACAAUGUUGAAUUGAGGAUUUUAGGAAGACAGACAAAUAUCUAUAUGAAUAUGAUCGAUCUCAGCUUGAUUUGGGCUCAGAACAAACGAUAAAUAGACAAAGGAAUGAUUAUCUGGAAUUUGCAGGCCAGGUUCAAGAGAGGAGUUGUUGAGGAAUUAUGGUAUAAUUCUCGUGCCUAGGACGUGUUCGAUAAUAUGCCUACCAACGAAUGUGCAUCCCACCUGAUGUGUUGCACCAACUCUAUGGUUUCCCAAGCAAAAGCAAUCAAUCAACAAGGUCAAUUCGUGAAGGUUUGUCCUGCGUGAGUCAUAGCUAGUGAGCAGAUUCUGAGAGUCUUUAGUCUUUAACAGAAUUUUACCACAAACACAGUGCAAACCCAGUGUUUAUUUAAUCAAUUAUUUCUUUUCUAGCGGCUAACAUUUUUUCAAAUUUCUAAAUAAAAAUAUACAUGACAGAAUUUGAUUAUUUGUUGUUUCGUGACUGAUGUGGUAGAACGAAGGAAUUGUAUAAUUUCUUGAGUUUUAGACAUAAAACAGAGUCGGGCCAUAGAAUGAACGAAAAAAAUAUCAUCACAUUUGUUGGAAUGAUGCUGUGCUUUAUUCAAAAUUAUUUCUUCCACUUGCGAAGCAAUCAAUAAUAGUGUUAAUUCUUGAACCUGUGAAAAGCAAUUAAUUUUCUUCAUUUGUUUACAAGCAAUCUUCCAUAACCAUUGUGCUUGGCUGUGAAAUACCCCAUUUGUGGCUGAACAUAGAAUCUGUUUUUUGUUGCUUUUUGCGAUCUUUGGCUUAAUUUACAAUUCAUGGCAUGUCUGAAAAUGGGUCGAUGAAUAUGCUAAAUAUGGACUCAGAUCUAGAUCAGAUUUAUCCACGAAACAAUCAAGAGGAUUCAACAUUUGAUAUUUAUUUUUCCUUUCUCCACCCCCAUGUUUAAUUUUGGUCGGAGGACUUGGUUGAUAGGAAUUGACAACUAUUGAUUUUCCUUUUUUUUGUUAAACAACAGACCACAAUGUCAAUUUGAAGACUUUGUUGAUAAGAAUUGACAACUGUUGGUUCUUAUUAUUUGUUUUUGUUUAAUAGAAGAUGCCUUGGAAUUCCGCAUCAUUGACAUGUAGUUGAUAUUUAAAACUACAACUAUCGGAAUUCUUAUUAAGAAAAUUACUAUGCUGCUUGCAACAUAAUCAAAGUUGUAAGUUUUAUGCCAUGCAGUUCUCUUUAUUUUCAUUUAUGUUUUUGAAUUUUCAGAAUAAAUAUGGAGAAGAAGAUCAUUAAUUUCCAAAGCUGAGAAGAAAAUAUUUUCAGAAUUAUACUACAAUGACUAUAGGGAGAUCCUGAAAAUGAGAUUCUUGAUGUUCUUCAAAUAAGUUUUGAUGGGUCAAAAGAAACAGAGAAGAAAAUAUUUCUCGAUAUUGCAUGUUUCUGUGAAGGGAAGUAUAGAGAUUAUGUGAAAAAAAUUCUCAAAUAUUGUGAUUUUGACCCAAUUAUCGAAAUAGUUGGUCCUAUUGAAAAAUCUCUAUUAACUGUAGAUGAUUUCAGCGGACUGUGGAUGCAUGAGUAGCUACAAGAAAUGGGGUAGACAAAUUGUUAGGAGGCAAUCCCCUCAGGAGCCUGGAAACUGCAAUAGAUUGUGGAAGGAAGCAGAUAUAUGCCAUGUAUUAUCACAAAGCACAAGUAAAUGUUCAGUUAGGUUGAAAACUUGCAAUUUUGGGAUCAUGAUCACUUAUUUAACUAGUUAAACCUUUGCAUAGUUUUAUCAAUAUUUUCUUUCUUUCAUUUUUUUUUUUUUGGUUCCCACUUAUUUUUUGUUAUAAUGUUUAGGAAACUGAUGUAGUUGAAGCAUCAUAUUUGAUCGCUUUAACAACAAAGAGAUGCAUGUCAGUGCUAAUGCCUUUUCUAAUAGGACCAAUCAGACUUCACAAGAGUACCAAAUUUAGGGGAGCUGAUUUCUGAAAGAUUUACAAGGUUGCAGGAGAUUCACUCAUUUUUUCUGCGUCAAAGAAGCUGAUUUUGUUGAAUUUGAAAGGUUGUACAAGUCUUUCAACUCUUCCAGGCAAGAUCUUUAUGAAAUCUCUGAAGACACUUGUUCUUUCUGGUUGCUGGAAAUUGAAGAAAUUUCUAGACGUUGUGGGAAGUUCUUUCGGAUGGAACUGAUAUUAAAGAACUGCCAUUAUCAAUUGAACUUCUAUUUGGACUUGCUCAGUUAACUCUGAAUGGCUGCAAAAAUCUCGAGUGUCUUCCAAGGACCAUAAGUGCUCUAAAAUAUCUAUCAACUUUGAAUCUCUCCAGCCCUUUGAAAUUCAGAGAGUUCCCAGAGAAAACUUCAAGCAGGGAUCAGCUCUUGGAGCUUCAUUUGGAAGGAACUGCUAUAAGAGGAUUGCCAGCAUCUAUUGAACUUCUUUCUGGCAAUGUCUUGUUGAAUUUGAAAGAUUGUAAAAAUCUCAAGAGUCUUCCAAGUACCAUAAAUGGUUUGAGAUUGCUUAGAACAUUGUAUCUCUCUGGCUGCUCCAAACUAAAAAAUGUGCCAGAGACCUUGGGGAAAGUUGAAAGCUUGGAAGUUAGAUUGUCUUGUUAGAAUCAGGCAAAAAUGCAGAAUGACUUCAACUGUGUGGAACAGAGUGCAGUGGAGACAGUAACAAAGUUAGCAAAAGCAGAAUCGCUAAGGUACUUUACAAAAUUAAUAAUUUCCUUUAUAACAUGCAGUACCGUAUUACUUCUAUGUGCAUUCCUAACAUUAUCUUCGACAGAAAGAUUCAGAUUCAUGGAAGAAGAAUGUUGAUAAGGGCAUCAAGCUAUCCACAACAGCAAUAUCAGCUUGCUCACUUGCCUGCCAUAGGCUGAUUCAAACCUCAAGAGCCAUGCCAAGGGUUGAAUCAAAUAACAGCAAAUUCACAUCUUAGGUGGCCUUUUCUUCCAGCUUAGUCACUGCAUCAUUUUUUAUAGCAGGUUCAUUCUAUAAUAAUCUCAUAGGCACAUAUCAUGAACUUUGUUUUAUCAUGCUUGCAUACUUUAUUUACUUCUGCACAGUGAUAUACACAUUCACUAUCAAUUUAAGUAGAAAUUGAUUUUUGAAUAUGCUCUUAUCCUUUACUAAUCAUAUAAAAAGCUCAUACGUCAGGGUAUAUGACUAUUUACAGCUGUCUUGCGGAUGGAUUCGUAACCUUACUUAAGUAAUAUUAUCAACAAUUUUUGGAAUUGAUGAUAUCUAUUCAUCAAUUGCAUACAACUGCAGCAUUUAUUUGAUUUUAGAACCUGGUCUUAGAGUCCAUAAUGCAUUGACAAAUACAGAAGUGAUCAAAUUACUAGCCUCUGGAGUUGCUAUUUAUGUUAUUAUUGAAGGAUGAUUCAAAUUCUUUAUGUUUGUUAGUUUUUGUUUGGGCGGGAAAUUUAAGUUUUAUCUGAGUUGACUCUAUUGACCACUGCUCGUAUCAAAAAAAUCUGAAAAAUAACUUACAACUUGUGAGGCUUGUAACCAAAAGAUGCCUAAAACCAAUUAUUUCUAAGAGAAGUGGACAGCCGUAAACCUUUCUUCCCGAGCCUUAAACAACUUCAAAGAAAAAUGUCAAGCUUUCAACCUUUAUUUUCCAAUCUUUACUUAUUUUAAUGAGAAAAUACUACAAUUUAAAAAAAUUUGAAAGAUUGUACAGGACUUAUUCCAAAAGAAUAUUUUAUUCAUUUUUCCCUAAAAAAUGCAAUUACAUUUGAAAUCCUUUCUUUGAUGUGUAGAUUACUGAAGCUAGCUUUUGUCAACAUCAAAUAGACCAUGUCUUUUCUACACUAAAGACCAAAAUCAUUCUUCAUUAUUCCUUUCGGCACAUGCUUUAGACUAAAAUUGUUGUUUGAGAAAUUAAUUAGAACACAUGAAAAUCCUUUCAUUGAUUUCUUUGAACAAACUUAAUUGGAAAUUCAAGUAAAAAAUGUCGAGCCUUUAACCUUUACUUCCCCAUCUUUACUUCUGUUAACAAGAAAAUUCUACAAUUUAAAUAAAAAAAUUCUUAAAAGAUUAUAAUGGAAUUUUUACAAAAGAGUAAAUUCUUAAAAUAUUUUAAUGGAAUUAUUCCACAAGAAUAAAUUCUUAAAAGAUUAAAGUGGAACUCACUUUGCCCUAUAAAAUGCAAUUACAUUGAAGACACCAUUAAUAACAUGCUUUUGUCAACAUCAUGUCGACCAUAUCUUUAAUCCCAUGCGCCACUAAAGACCAGAAUCAUUCUUCAUAAUUACUUUCGGCAUGCACUUUUUAUUAAACUUUUUGUCUUUGAGGAAUUAAUUAGAACACAUAAUAAUGAAUGUACAAUAAAAAAAAAAAUACUUUUGUUGUGAUUUUCACGGACGAAUUAAAAAAAAAAAGGAUUAUAAAUGUAUUUAAACAGUCCAUUAGCCGGGUCCAGCUACUUUUUUUAACAACUUUUACAAGGCAUUUCCGACUUUCGGAGAACUUUUUUUUUUUUUUUUUUUUUAACGUUUGGAUUUGAUAGAAUCUGGAUUUGGACAAUGAUAGGAGUGGUACGAUACAUACCUCAGCUUAGGAUCAAGCUUCGGGUUUGAUAGCAGGUUCGUUCUAUAAUAAUCUCAUAUGCACAUAUCUUAAUACUUAUUUUAUGGGAGAUUCCCAAUUUUCUUAUGGUGCAAUCAAUAUUUACUAUUUGUCCCUUAUUGCUUUUACAAUCUCUCUUUUGCAUGACUACUAUAAAUUUAAGUGAAAUUUAUAAGAAUAAAUUAUUCUAAAAGAAUAAUUUAAUCAAUUGAGUUGUGAUUCAGAAUAAUUUAAUCAAUUAUUCUAAAACAUUUUUGCGCGAAUCUUGAAAUGCUAAAAGCAAAUUCCCCUUUUUAAGUCCAAUUUUGAGUAGUUUUACCGCCAUUAUUAAUCUUAGAACUUUUUGUACAGCUAAGUGGUACCAAUUACAUCGAAAGUGUAAUACUUGUGCGUUGCCUUCAUUGGUAAAAAACGAAGGUAAAACUUGCAUCCUUUUUAACUGUUACUAAUAAUUUGUACGUGCUUCUCUCUUCCGCAAUUUCAUGAAAGUAUGUAAUGAACCCAAGGGCAAAUGACAAUGAAAUUUCUUACGGACAAGCAUCCUCGAAUCUACAGAUCAUCCACAAAUCUCAGCGAAUGAAUUUUUAGAUCGUCGUUACCCCAUGCAAUACAUAUCAAAUGGUACUGACGAUCAAUCAUUUUGUAUUGAGCUCCUUGCAGCAAACGAUCACUUGAAAAUUAAUCACACAUAUCUUCCCGCAAUGCAUAAUUGAAGCUACCAUUUGCAUUUUGUGAAAACGCCCUUCGCAGCCACAUCUCAGAUCUUUCUUUAUUCACAAAAUAUACAACUUCAAAGAUUAAAAUUUUUCUUUAUUCACAAACAUACAACUUCAAAGAUUAAAAUUUUUCUUUAUUCACAAACAUACAACUUCAAAGAUGUUAAGCAGUCUCUAACAUCUGUUGAGUUUGCAUUAAGUACCAUCAAUUAAAGUAUGCACCAACCAAAAAACAAGACAUGAAUAUAUUUGUGAAAUCAAUAUAUCAAACUCAAUUGGGAAAACACAAACCCAUCCUCCCUUAUUUCCACAAGAAUAAAUUCUAAAAAGAUUAAAGCGAAAUUUUUAUAAAAGAAUAUUUUAUUCACUUUGCCGUAUAAAAUGCAAUUACAUUGAAGACUCACUAAAUAAAACGCUUAAAAAAAUCCUUGCUUUUGUCAAUAUCAUGUCGACCAUAUCUUUGAUUCCAUGCGCCAGUAAAAACCAUAAUCAUUCUUCAUAAUUACUUUCGGCAUACACUUUGGAUUAAACUUUUUGUUUUCACCACCAGUUAAGUAACAUUACAAAUUAAAUCAAUUUUAGGUCUGACAAAAAGCUGCAAAUUGAAGAAAAAGGGCACAUACUAUCUUAGAGGCUAGACUUAGCUCCAAUUAUAAUUUUUUCUGAGACUCGAGUUUUAGAUUCGAGCUCUACUUUACUUGCAUGCCACAAAUUUGAAAAAAAAUGUGCAUACUAAUUUUUUUUGGAGAAAAAUGGAAUUGAAUAAUAAACGUACAGUAAAAAAUUUACUUGUGUUGUGAUUUACACAGAUGGAUCAAAAACAAUGAUUGGCGGAUUGAAUAAUGAGUGUAAAAUAAAAUUAAAAAAAUUUACUGUUGUUGUGAUUUUCACGGACGAGGGGAUUAUAUAGAAUCUGGAUUUAGACAAUGAUAGGAGUUGUACAAUACAAACCUCAGCUUAGGAUCAAGCUUCGGGUUUGAUAGCGGGUUCGUUCUAUAAUAAUCUCCUAUGCACAUAUAUUAAAAUUUAUUUUAUCAUUCAUUAUAGCAAAGCUUUUCUAUUUCGCAUAAGUAUUAUAAAUUUAAGUAGAAAUUUCUUUUUUAAUAUGCUCUUAUCCUUUAUUAAUCACGUCAAAAGUUGUGAGAGUAAAUGUUCGAAUAGUCUAUAUAUUUUUGGUUAAAUAUAUGUUUAUUUUUUAUAUUUCGAAAAAUAUCUUAAGAGACCCUACUUAUUGAAUAUAUGUACUACUGCCCUUUGUUUUUCUUAUGUUUUAUAAUAAUGCCCUUAUUACAAUUUAGAGACAUUAAUUAAUUAAUCUAUGAAAAAUGUUAAUUAACAAAUUUAACCAUAGUUAUUUAUUAGCAAUAUAUAUAUAUAUAUAAAGCUGGGACUUGAGGAGGUGAUGUGGCAUCACCAUUUCUCAUCUUUGUAUAUUCUUUAUUAUCUAAUAAAUAGAAAAAUUUUCUUUUAGAUUUGGCUUUUCAUCUUCUCAUAAUUAAUUUGAUUGUUAUUACACAAUAACAAUUAUGUAAAGAUUUUAAUGAGGCAUAUUCUUUGUAAUGAACAUCCAAGGGGGAGUGUUAUGAAUUUAUUAAAAUAAAUGUAGAUGUUCAUAACAUUUAUCUCUUAGUCUCCCCACUAUCUCCCAUUAGCAAUCUUUGGCUUCCCUAUAACUCCUACUAUCUGACAAGGAAUUAUAAUCCAUAAUUUUUCAUUAAUUUCAUUGAGUGAUUAUGUAACUAUAAAAGGAGAGCUCAUCUUUUUGUUUUGUACACACACAAUUGGAAUGAAUAAAAUCACUCUAUAAUAUAUUCUCUCAUUUUAUUCUUUAUCUUGCGUUGCUUCUUUAUUUGUAUUGCUGGCAAAUAGUUUUUUUUUUUUUUUUUUUAUAAGGCUGCCUCAUCUUAAAAAAAAACCAAUUCAUAUUUUUUAUCAGUUUUAUCAAGUGUAAAGUAAAAAAAAAGAUAAUAUUAAAUUCUUUUUUUAAAGCCGCGUGAAAUGCGGUUCUAUUUUCUAGUUAACUAAUAAUUAUCAGUUUGAAUGAACUGGUAUUUUUCAUACUCUUAUGGCAAUCUUCUAAUGAUUUAAAAUAAAAUUAAUACUAGCUAACUUAAAGCAAUAUUUAAUACCCUUGCGAUUAUAGUCCCUGUAAUAAUUAUUUAAAAAAUUAAUCUACCAAAUUAAUUCCAAAAGUAAAAUAAAAAAUUUAUAUUUAUUUUUACUUUAACUUUCUUUAUAGAUAAAUUAAUUUACAUCCUCAAGAAUAUUGUUGCAAGUGUAUUCCUAUAAAAGUAAAGAAAAAACAAGUGCAUAAGUGUAAUAUACUUAACAACAGUGAUCUCUUGAGACACUUUUUUAAAAUAUAAAAACUAAACAGAUACUUAAACAAAAAUAUAUAGAUUAAACAAAUAUUUACCCAAAAUUGAGACAUCAACCUGUAUAAUUAUUUACAGCUGCCUUGCGGAUAGAUUCAUAACCUUAACAAUUUUUUGAUUGCAACGUAGAGUAGAUGCCUUCUCGACCGUCGGAUGCAUGUGUGAAGAAUCCAAAACGGUAACCCAUAAUAGUGAGACACGUGUGAUGAAGAUUCCGUCCAAUUGUCCUGAUGAUGAGACGGUUUGGAUAUUGGAAGCUGCAUUCCCGUUGUUGGUAACAAUUUAUGUUAAAUAUGUUCGGUAAUGCAACACGUAAAAUCGUAAAAAUAUAUGAUGAAGCAACAUUUUACUUAUUUCAACCUUUACUUACUUCAAUAACAAGAUUCUAUAACUUUAAAAAACAAAAAAAAAAAUCUUAAAGAUUAUGACGGAAUUCUUCCGAAAGAAUAAAUUCUUAAAAGAUUUUAGUGGAAUUUUUCCAAAAGAAUAAAUUCUUAAAAUGAUUAUUGUGGAAUUUUUCUAAAAGAAUAUUUUAUUCACUUUGAGCUAUAAAAUGCAAUUACAUUGAGGCCACCCUUGAUAAAAUACUAAAAGAAAUCCUUGCUUUCCUCAACAUCACGUCGACCAUAUCUUUGAUUCCAUGCACCACUAAAGACCAUGAUCAUUCUUCAGAAUUACUUUCGGCAUACAUUUUUUAUUAUACUUUUUGUUUUUUGAGAAAUUAAUUAGAACACAAAAAAUUUCUCUCAUUGAUUUCUUUGAAAGAAAGCUAGGUCCUCUUUCUUAUUGAGGUACUAUAAUUUUUAAGUUUAAAUUAUUAAAAAAAUUAUAAUUAUAAAAUAAAAAUUAAUAGUAUGUAAUAAAUAUAAUUUUAAAUAAUAAUUUUCACAAAAUUAAUAAAAAUCUAAUAUAUUUUUCAGCAUACAACUUAAGUUUUAAGAUAUAGUUGUGAGUAUUUAUCAAACACGUUGGUGUUGUAAUUUAAAAGUUACAGCUGUCCAACCUCAACUUCGAAUAUGGCCUUAAUUAGAAAUUCAAGUAAAAAUUUACCAUCUUUUAUUGCUUCCAAUAAGCUCAAACAUGCAAGUUAAUUUUCUUACAUUUUAAUUUUACUUGUAUCUCAGCGUUUGCUUUGCAAGAAUAAAUGUCUUACAUAUUUAUGUCUUAUUUUUUUCAUAUAUAAAAUUAAAUUUGAAUUAAUUUAAGAGGAAAUCUUGGUUUUCUGCUCCUUGAAUUUGCUGGUUGUGUGCUGAUUAUGAUUAUUUAAGAGCCAUUUAUUCAUAACAUUUCAUUUCAAAUAAAACUAAAAUGUCCAAUGUAUUAAAAUUUGUCAAAAGUUUAUGCUAAAAAUCAUUAGGAGAAAAAUGAUUAUUUUAGUCAUUUUGCGUCCCCCGACAGAUUUUGAGGGAGAUUGGAAUCUUGUGUAAUUUGCUGUACAGAGUUAUGAUGCAUCUUUAACGACUAUUCUGUUGACUGAACUUGAUUGACCUCCGAAUGCGACCUCAUGUAGGUCCGUCCGCUGAAUACGUGUUCUUUAAAGGAUCAACUCGACCCGUAUUUGCCCCGAUAUUGACCCGCGUUUGGUUUGACCGCAGGAUGUAUGUGACAUGUCUUGUUGGCCGUUGAUCCGCGUUGUGUGAGGGUACUGGAUGGUUGACGUUGUACCUAGACAUUAUUUUGAUUAUAUUGAACGCGGUCCAAGGGUUCUAAAGCUGCCACGUACACUGCUACUCCGAACCUUUGAUUUAAUUCAAUUUUGGUGGAUCCAACGGCCAUUUCCCUCAUCUCUUUAAAAUGUAAAAGCAUCAUUUUAAGCACUACAGGCUGUCGAUUUCGAGCGAGCUUACAAGUGUAUGGGAAAAAUUUAAAGUAGGAAAACUACGAGACUGUAGUUUGAUAUAAUUUUUCACUAUAUUAAUGAGAUUACAAUACAAAUUACUCUCUAAAUAAUGCUAGAGGCUACCAACAUCUAGAAUCUCAUUAUUUUUAGCUUAUAGUAAUCCCCGAAGAACUAUCUCUCUAACAAGUGGGUAUCUCAAAUAAUAGCCAACAAGAGGAUAAAAUAAAAAUCAAGACUAGUAGGAUUAUAGAGGGCGAUGCCAGGAAUUUACCCUCAAAAUUUAAGAGAAAAUGGAGUUAAUUUCGUCUUUUAAUCACCCAAUUAAAGAUUUAAAUAACUAUUCCCUUCUACUGGCUUUCUCUCUCUCUCUCUUGCCGCUUUUUCUUCUCUGCUCGUCCUUUUUAUUAAGUGAAAACUAGGGCUACUGCUUGCUUUUAUAGCCAAAUUACUUGGCGAUUUUCAUCGAAGUCCAAGGCUUAGUAAUAAUUACAAACCAAGCAAACUUAUUUAAAUUUUGGGCCCCAAAUGAGAUGGACCCAACAAGGAAGAAUUUAGUGACUUCUUACUUUUAUGUCCUUAAAAUUUACUUUUAAACCCUAGAUUUUUGAGAAAUACUUUUCUGAAGGGUUAGAAGCUAAUGUUUUAGAUUGGAUUUUUUUCAAACAUCAAGAAUUAAUUAGCAUUUAUUUUCUUCUCUUGUCUUUAGCUCCACCAAGUUCGUUGAUACAAGGUCUUUGAGCUUGAAGGUGUUAAAUUUAAGACGGAUUCUCUCACACCGAUUAUCAUUUUACCCUUAAAUUUUUCUCCUCAGCAAAUUUUGAUGUUUAACUCAUGUAGGAAAAAAAAUUGUGAGGACUGUGCGGAUUUUUUUUUUAAUUAAAAAACACUCUAAGGUGGGGGUUAGGCAGGACCCCCAUACCAAUAGAUUAAUAAAAUUAAAGAAAAUUCAUAUGGAGGGGGAGACAUAUUCCAAAACCUCUAAGCACGGGAACAAAUACACUCAACAAUUAGAAAAAUAACAAAAGCUUAGAAGAUACGAGUAAUUAACGCAACCGGCUACAGAAUAGCAUACAAUUCUUGGGCCAGUAACUAAUGUGAAACCUUUCUUAGAACCGGAGGCAUACAACCAGGCAAUACUAAAGUCAUCAACAUCACGCCCUCUAGUACCCUUAGGCCCAAAUGCAAAAUAUUCAUUAGUUGCAAGAUUCUCAUCAAAGCUAAACUCCUCAUCAGACUGAAAAGGGAUGUCCGUAGAAUGGCAAUUGAAGCCCACGACCAUGGAGCAAAUAUCCUCUACAACAGCUUGAAAAAAAAGUAGCGCCAAUGGAAGCCCUUUAAACACCCGGAUAAUCUAAAAAAUAAAGAGGAGGGUUAGAGACCUUAGAUGUCUGAACUCUUUUCAUAAAAACUGGAUCAUACCCAUCUUCUGUAGUAUCCUGAUAAAUAGGCGGCUAAGCAUCUACCGAAACAUCCUUGCCAGCACCAGGCCUCAAUGGCUUAACAUCUUCACGAUCCCCCUUUAAAUGCACAAUAGCAUCAUAUAUAGGCACCUUGCCUUUAUCACGAACAACAACACCUUGCACCUGACCAACAGGCUGCUGGGGCUCCUAGAGCCCAGGAUUAGCAACAAAACAAGCAUCAGCAGCUUGCCAAGAUGCUUACACGAGACACAAUAUAAAGGAACACACUAAAAAUUGACAAUCUUGCCAGCAACUGCCAUCACCCUCACCAGUCCAAAGUUUGGGCAACAACGACCGCAAAACAUCAUAUUCAAUCAGAAUUCUAGUGAUUAAGGGCCGAUUAACAAUAGUAGUAGCAUGGUCCACCCGUAGAGGCUUACCAAUAGCAUUAGCAGUAGAAAAUAAGGCAUCUUUGUAAUGAUUAAAAUGCAUUAGAAAAUACGACAAAGAAACCCAAACAGGAACAAAAGGAGAUUCCUCAGAGCACCAAAAUAACGUCUAUGAGACGUAGCUACAUGAGACUCAAACCCAAGACCUAAAUCUUGGUAAGGAUGCCCACCUAAAUCCACUUGGAAAAUGUUCAAAUGUAUUUUAGAUAACGUAUUUCAGUUUGUGAGGCUUAACACAAUAGAAUGUAGAUUCGAGAUAUUUACAGGUGCGAAGCUUUGUGAGUGUUGUUGAUCCACUUUAACUUACAUAUUUUCAUAGUGAAUUGUUCUGUCUACAAGUGGACAUAAUAACAUGUUGAGAUUUUUAUCCUAAAUCGUGAGGAUCAAAGGUUUCUUCGUAAAAAAAUCUUCGUGUUGCGGAUAUUCAUUUAUUUUGCAUAUUUAUUUUCAUUACCAUAAAUUGAUUUUUAAAUUUAUUCUAUUGAAUUAUCCUUACUAACUAGGAAAGUAAAUCAUUAACUUUAAAGAGAUUAUUAUUAUUACUAAUUAUAUUGAGAUAGCGAAAUAAAAAAUAAAAUUAAUAAUAAAAAUAUUUACUUUAAAUAUCAAUUAUUAUAUAUACACAAUAAAAAAUAAUUUAUAUGCAUAUUAUAAAUAUGUAAAUAAAUUUUAUUCAAAAUUGUGUCCACUUACAAUCAUUUACAUUCAUGUUAUUUACAAUAUUAUUAUAAUUUAAUAGUAAGAUUUACAAAACACAUACAAUUGUUUUUAAAAUUCAUAGAGCUUUUGAAAAUUGGAUCAAACGUUUAAUUGGUUAUCUUUAUAGUUGAUUAUUUCUAUAAUACAAUUAAUAGUAAUUAUUUUAAAAACUAUAAUAUUACCAAAAUGAUCCAAUAUCUUUUAAGGACCCAACUGAAAUCUAACGAAUAAAGGUUACCAUUCCUAUAGAUUGUCAAUAGUUUUAACUACUUUUAAUUAAUUAUUAAUAUCAACCAUUGGAUUCCAAUCCAUUUUAUAUUGCGUUUACUAAAUUGGAAUCGGAAUGGGUUGAAAUUAGAAUGAGUAAGAAUGGGAAUGAACUGAAAUGAGUAUGGAUAAUGGGAAUUAAAAUAAGGUUUUUACUUGAACUGCAGGAAUUAGAAUCGGAAUGAGCUGAAUUGCCAUUAAUGUAUUUACUUUGUCUUUAAAUUAGAAUAAGAAUGAGUUACAUUGUAACUUAUUACUAUAAAGUACAUAAUGAACUAUUCUCAUCAUUAUUAUUUUAUAUUUUAAUUACAGCGAUUAUUUAUUAAAAAUGAUGAUUAUUAUUAUUAAUUAUUGUUAAUAAUACAUAAUUUAAUUAUAUUUAUAUACUAAUUAUAAAAUAUAUUAAUUAAUAAUAAAUAUUAAUUAUUGUGAUUAUUUAUUAAAAAUUAUAACUAUUAACAAUUAUUGUUAAUAAUAAUUAAUAUAUUAAUUAAUAAUAAUAACUAUAUUAAUUCUUCAAUUAUAGUAAUAUUUUAUAAUUAUUAUUAAUUAAAUAUAAUUACUAUUAAUAAUUAUUGUUAAUAAUUAAUUAUAAUAAUAUAUUAAUUAAUCAUAAAUGAGGAUAAAAUGAACAUUUUGAUUUUUGGAGAGGGGUAAAAUGAUCAAUCCAUCAAAUAAGAGACUCACUACCACAUCCUCCUUAGAAUGAGUCUUCCAUUCCUCAUUUUCAAAUUGUGGUAGGGUAAAUAAUAUCAAUGAAGUCCUUCAGUUUAGUAAAAUUCUUCUGUUACCCACAUAAUUUUAGUUUUGAACAAUUUAAUCAUCCUUAGUUUUUCAACAAUUACUUCUAUGUGAAUUGCUUUCGGUGUUGUUCAACAUAAUAUUAUCAGACUCAUGGAACAAGAAUGUUGAUAAGGUUAGCAAGUAAUGAAAAGCAUAACUGGUCAAGGAAACUCAGGCUCAGAUUCUUACCAGUCCUACAAUUAACAACUGGAAAAGUUAAAUCAAAUAAUAGCAAAUUCAAAUCUUAUGUGGCCACUUCUUUUGGCUCAAUCACAGGUUCAGUUUUGAUAGUAGGUUCUCUAAUAACAUGAUCUUAAUUUUAUCAUGCUUGAAUGCUUGGCUUUACUUCUGGCACAGAUCCAUUUCCAUGCACAUUCACUUUCGCAAAGUUUCUCCGUUUUGCAGGACUACUUCAAAUUCAAGCAAAACUUACAAGCCUUAAUUGCCGAAGAAUGAUUCAAAUUCGUAAAGUCCGAAGUUUUGGUUUUGGCGGGAAAAUCAGAAGCUCAAGCUGCUAGCGCGGAUUCCACUUGUUAGGUUCAUCUCAUUUGGGGCCCCAAAGCCGAAAGUCCAAAUAAAUUUGCUUGGUUUGUAAUUAUUAUUAAGCCUUGGACUUGAGUGAAAUUUGCCAUGUAAUUUAGCUAUAAAAGCAAGUGGUAGCCCUAGUUUUCUCAUCACACAAAAGGAUGAGUGGAGAAGAAAAAGCGGCAAAAGAGAGAGAAAAGCCAGUAGAAGGUUGUAAUUUGGGAAUAGUAUUUUCAAUCUUUAAUUGGGUGAUUGGAAGUGAUUUUGACUCUGUUUUCUCCCAAAUUAUGAGGGUAAGUUCCUGGCCUCACCCUCUACAAUCCUACGGGUGUUGAUUUUUAUUUUAUCCUCUCUUUGGCUAUUAUUUGAUAUACACACUUGUUGGAGAAAUAGUAAUUAGGUUGUUACUUUAAGUUAAGAAUAAUGAGAUUCUUGAUGUUGAUAGCCUCUAGUAUUAUAUAGAAAAGAAUUUAUGCUGUAAUCCAUUAAUAUAGUGGAAGACUAAAUCGGACUAUGGUCCUGUGAUUUUUCUCGUUUUAGGUUUUCCAUGUAAAAAUUUAUACCUCUUGUAGUUGGUUUUUGCUUUGGAUUUAUUGGUUUAUUUUUCUGCCUAUUUAUUUGUGGUACACAUCUUAUUAUAAUCACACAAAGAGGGAAAGAGUUUUGUUUUUGCUAAAUUUACAAAUGUUUAUGAUAGUUCCUUUCCCAACUGAGUGGUAUCAGAGCCAUGUUGUGUGUUUUAUUACUUGUGUGGUUGAGAUGGAGGAAUCCUCGGCCUGCAUGAUUAAAGUAAAGUAAUGGAAUUAUUGUAUUUGAAAGUCUCGAAUGGAAGAUUUGUUAUACAUAAAAGACUUACAUGAACCCAUUAAAAGCGAAGAAGUUAGACACGCCGAUUUAGAUGAUAAGAAAUUGGCUCAAUUAAACCAGAAGGCUGGGGGUACUAUUAGAUCAUGGAUUGAUCAGAGUGUGUAGCACCAUGUCACGAAGAAAUCCAAGGCUGAUGUUCUUUGGAGAAAAUUAGACACAACUUAUGAGCAGCCGACAACACAAAAUAAAGUCAAUCUGAUGAAAAGACUUGUUAAUUUGAAAUACAAGAGAGGCGCAAUAUAACUGAACACACUAAUGAGUUUCAGUGAUUUGUUGAUCAGUUGACUACUAUGAAAAUUAUUCUAGAUGAUGAGUUACAAGCAUUAUUGUUGCUUAGUUCUUUGCUUGGCAGUUGGGAGAAUUAGUGGUUUCAGUGAAUAAUUCAGUGUCGAACAGAAAAUUAACCUUGGAUAUAGUUACAGAUAGGUUGCGGAAUGAAGAAUCUAGAAGAAAAAGUGUUGAAGCACUUUCUUCUAAACCAGAUGCACUUGUUUAAUAAAAGCAAGAAAGGUAAAGGAGAAGCCAAAGUAGAAAUUCCCACCAGCAGAAUAAUGAUAGGCCCAUAGGAAGAUCUAAGUCCUAGAGGAGAAACAUAAAGUGCUUUCAUUGUCAGAAAAUGGGUCACGUUAAAAGGGAGUGUAGAUUGUGGAAAAGAGAACAGGCGAAAGAAAAGGGUGAUACUUAGAAAAAUGACAAAGAAAACACUACAGCCAUAGUUGACGGUGAUUUAGGUAUUGUUUAUGAUGAAAACUCAAUAAAUCUCACUUGCCAUUCCAGUGAUUGGGUGAUUGAUUCUAGUGCUUCACUUCAUAUUACUGCACAUCGUGAUUACUUUACAUCUUAUGUUAAUGGUGAUUACGACCAUGUUCGGAUGGGAAAUGAAGGGGCAUCCAAGAUUGUAUGCAUAAGAGAUAUUUGCUUGGAGACCAGCACUAGUUGUAAGUUGUUGCUUACAGAUGUCAGACAUGUACUCGAUAUUCACCUCAAUUUGAUCUCUACAGGCAAAUUUAAUGAUGAUGGUUAUAUUAACGAAUUUGGUGAAGGAAAAUGGAAGCUCACCAAAGGCUCUCUAGUGUUAGUUAAGGGGAGGAAAGUAAAAACUCUAUAUAUGAUAGAAGCUAAGAUAAAGAAAGAAUAUGUGAAUGUGACUGUAAAAGAUUUUAACAUUGAGACAUGGCAUAAAAGACUUGGUCACAUUAGAGAGAAAGGGUUAGAAACUCUUGUCAGAAAAGGAUUUCUACACAGCUUCACAGGUAUGUCCUUCAAGACUUAUGUUCAUUGUUUAGCUGGAAAGACACACAGCGUAGCUUUUAAAAGUUUUUCUCCAUCUAGAAAGUCGCAAAUCCUUAAUUUGAUUUACACUGAUAUUUGCAUGAUGCAAAGUAGAUCAAUAUGAGGUGCACUUUAUUUUGUGACUUUUAUUGAUAACUAUUUUAGAAAAGUGUGGGCUUUUGCUUUAAAAUCUAAAGAUUAGGUGCUUGAUAUAUUUAAGUUCUUCCAUACUUAUGUUGAGAGAGGGACAAGAAGAAAGUUAAAAUGCGUUAGGGCAGAUAAUGGUGGUGAGUACAAAUGGCCAUUUGAGCAGUAUUGCAGAUCCCAUGGGAUCAGAUUUGAGAAGACUGUACCAAAAACCCUACAGCAGAAUGGUGUUGUAGAAAGGAUGAACAGAACAAUUGAAGAGAGGGUCAGAUAUAUGCUUUCUGAUGCGAAGCUUCCUAAAUCCUUCUUGGCAGAGGCUAUGCGUACUGUAGUUGACUUGAUUAACCUUUCUCCUUCAGCUCCAUUAGAGGGUGAUGUACCUGAGCGAGUUUGGACGGGGAAAGAUGUUUCUUAUAAACAUUUGAUAGUGUUUGGUUGCAGAGCAUAUGCUCACAUCCCUAAAAACGAGAGUUUGAAGUUUGAUGAUAAAGCCAAGGAAUGCAUUUUUUUAGGCUAUGGGCAUGAAGAAUUUGGGUAUAGAUUAUGGGAUCCAGUGGCAAGGAAAUUGAUCAGAAGUAGAGAUGUUGUGUUCCUUGAAGAUUAGAUAGUUGGUGAUGUAGUGAUGAGUGAUAAGUCUCAGUCAUCUCCAGAGAUUCUUAUUAUUCCAACUUCAGUUUCUCCACUUAUGAUUCAUGAUGAUCAUAGGGGAACUAAAGAGGAUAAUAAUGAUGGUCCAGCAAAAACAGUUGACCAGGCACCUCUAGAACCACCAACACCACCAGUUGAGCCAUAAUUGAGAAAAUUUAUCAGAGAACGGUGACCUUCUACUAGAUAUCCUCCACAUAAGUAUGUGAUGCUUACAGAUGUAAGGGAGCCAAAAUGUUUUGAAAAAGCCAUGUCUCACCAGCAUAAUAGUGAGUGGGUUAAAACCAUACAAGAAGAGAUGAAAUCCUUGAAUGAGAACCACACUUAUGACUUAGUGAAGCUUCCUAAGGGAAAGAGAGCACUGAAGAACAAGUGGGUUUAUAGGUUGAAGAUUGAAAACAACUCACAGCAGUGAUAUAAGGCUAAAUUGGUUGUGAAGGGUUUUGGUCAGAAGAAAGGUAGGUAUUGAUUUUGAAGAAAUACUUUCUCCUAUGGUAAAGAUGUCUUCUAUCGGAGUUGUUCUGGGACUAGCAAUUAGCUUGAACUUGGAGAUUUAACAGCUCGAUGUAAAGAUAACUUUCUUACACGGUGACUUGGAGGAGGAAAUAUACAUAGAGCAACCUGAAGGAUUCAGUGUCAAAGGUAAAGAAGAACUUGUGUGCAAGUUGAAGAAAAGUUUGUAUUGACUGAAACAAGCACCAAGACAAUUGUAUAAGAAGUUGGAUUCUUUCAUGGAGAAUCGUGAUUUCAACAAGACUAUGUGCGAUCAUUGUGUUUUUGUGAAGAGGUUUAGUGAUAAUGGUUUUAUUAUCCUUUUGCUUUACGUGGAUGACAUGUUAAUUGUUGGCCAGGAUGCUAGUAAGAUUGGCAAUCUGAUGAAGAAGCUUAGCAAGUCGUUUGCAAUGAAGUACUUGGGACCGACAAAAUAGAUUCUUGGCAUGAGAAAGGCGACGAGUGCUUGUUGCGAAUCCAAACUAAUUGCUCAACUUACAUGUUUAUGAUAUUUGUAACUAGCUAAUUGCUUCACUAUCUUUCAAAUUAUUUCUUUUUUUCUUUUGAAAGUGUUAAUUUUUUUUCCGCAUUGAAAUUAAGACCAAAGACAGUGUUUUAACCCAAAUCUAUUUUAGAAAAGUAUUACAUACUGUGAGAACACUUAAUUAUUUAUUUUUUAAACUCUUGGGUAAGUCUAAUCCAACCCCGUACUUGCAUGGAACACUUUGUUUCGUAUACAAAUACAAUUAGUUGUUAGUAAUAAGUUUCGGCCAAUUUGCUGUAAUUCUUUUCCUAACAAUUGUCUUUACCGGCCUUUUACCACUCUGGUUACUCUCAUGACCUACAUUAAUGGUGCUUUUACUCAUGGGACUUAAGAAUCAAAAUUCAGAAUUAGAAUGAUCCGUAGUGUGUACUUCUUAGAAUAGAAGAGGGAAUGGAAAUGAACUAGAGGGGCUCCUACGUUUCUGGAAAAUUUGUGAAAUUUGUUCAAACCUUUUGUGAAAUUUGUUCAUGGAAUUCCUAACUAGUUACCGCCAACAGCAGAGGUGGAUUACUAGCAAUAAGCAUACAAAUUAGAGUCAGCAAUUUUUAUAAUUUAUACAUAUGGCUAGUAAAUAAAAAGUAAAAUAAAUCAAUCAAUAUAAAAGUGGUAAAUUGAUGUUUUAAAAUUAAAAAUUAAAAAUACUUGUAAAAAUAAUAUAAAACUUAUAAAACAACAUUAAACUUUAACUAGACUAGAAAAUAGUUGAUUUAUUUAUAAAUUAUGCAAAAAAAUUCACUAAUCAAGCAAAAAAAAUCACUCAUUAACUGAAAAAAAAAACUGUAUUUAAAUAAUUAGAAUAAAUUUUAUUGAAUUGGUUUAACCAUGAAUUCUAUAUUUAUCCUUGGAAAUUUAUAAUUUUUUUCAUUUUCUAUCAUAAUAUUUGUUUACUACACAGAAAAAUUAAUUUUUUUUAAAAUGUAGAUCAAGCCAAAAUAAAAUAAAAGUUAUUUUUAUAUUACUAGACAUAUAUGGUAUAUGAAUAAAAUUAGAAUUAAUUUUCAGUUUUAUACAUACUUUAUCUAGUUUUAAACUUUACUUCUUAUACUUAAAGAUCAUUUAGGGUUAUUGCCGAAUAAGUUUAGAAGGAUGCAAAAUUACCUUAUCUUAUAAAUAACUUUAAAAAAACAUAAAAAGAGUUUUAUUCUCUCAAAUACAAGCUUUUAGCGCGGCAUGCAAAAUACACCCCGUUUAAAUCUAAUCACACCUCUCUAAUUUUUUUCUUUUUUUCGCCACUAUGAGGUAAUGAAGUAGUUAAAAAGUAUAACCUUUAGAAUUUAGAUUCCUUUCGCUUUUUUGCUUUUUUCACCCCCACUUUCUGAGAUGACCAAGACUUGCUUUUGGAAUACAUAUAAAUUAAUCUGGGGCAGCUGGAAGUUGCAUUUUCUUUUCCAAAAGAAACAUAUUUGCCUGAGAUUAACUUCUUUCCUUUGAAUCAAGACACUUCAUUGGAGUUGAUCAGAUCAAUCAGGUGGCUUCGUUCAACACACUUAAAGCUGUAAGUUUUAUUUUAUACAUUUCUCUUUUAUCCUCAGAAUUAAUUUGCACAUCCUGGAUGUUUAAAAAAGGAAAUAAAUAAAAUUGGAAGAAAGCUUUGAAUGGUAAUUUAAUUUGUAUUGUAUCAACUCCUUAAUUUGCUUCAUUUUGAGGCUCUAAUUAAGAUUUACUUAAGUAAAAGUCGGCAAACACGCUCUCCAAUCAUCAUCUGAAAAACUUUUUUAUUGUAUUUUGGAAGUAAAUGAGAGGCUGUCAAUUAGUUUGUUUAGUUAAGAAGAAGAUCAUUAAUUUGUUGUUCAAUAAUUUUAUGUUAAAAGAAAUUAUUAAAGUAAUUAUGUUACAUUAUUUUUCUCUUUCUCUCUAUUUUCUCUUUUUUAACACUAAUAAUUAAUAAUUUUUAUCUCCUUGAAUUUCGUAAGUCUCGAUGAAUCUUCAGGUUUGUAAAUUUUUUCUUUAGAUCUCGAUAAAUAACAUUUGACAAUAUUUGUUGAUCAGGCUGUGUUAUAAACAACGCAGAUUUUAUAAGUUAAAUCAAUUUUCACUGGAAGCUUUUAAACAGUAAUUACAGUUUAGCAUAAUUUUUUUUAAGUGUAUGGAUUUUGCAUCUUUCUAUGAUAAAGAACUUUAAUUUUUCUUUCUGUAAGGGUGGUCAUCCAACCCCCCCACUAUUGAUUAGUUUAAAAAAAAUCAAACCAACCAAUCAAAUAAAUAUGUUCAACCCAACCCAAUCUUAUCCUUAAAUCAUUGUGCUGGGUCAAUCGAAUUGAUUAAAACUAAAAAUGAAACAAGUUCAAACAUAAAAGUUGAAAAAAAAAAAAAGCUAUUUGCUACUUAAAAUCAAAUUCAAACAGUAAAAAGCAUAUUGAUUCCCACCUGGCUGGACUCCAUUAAAGUUUCAGUAAUAAAGAUCAUUAUGUUUACCAUUAAUUCCUAUAGAUUGCUGAUAAUUUUAAUAUUUUUAAUUAGUUAUUAAUAUCAACCGUUGGAUUCCGCUCCAUUUUAAUGGAAAUAUGGAAUCCAAUGGUUUCAACACGGCUAAUGGGCAGAAUGGCAAAGAUGCGUAUACAAUUGAAAAGCCUGAUAAUUUUCGUUUAGAUUCCUUGAAGCUUCCAGGAAGUUCGAUGCUAAGUUCAUCGUGUGAGUAAGCAGUGACAACAUUUAUUGAUUAUUAAAGAGGCCACUUUUUGACAACAACACAACUCCUAUUGCUUAAUUUAUUUUUUCCCAAAGGAUAUUUACAUGAAUAAAUUCUUUGAAUCAAACACUGCAUCGGAGUUGUGGUAAUAAUAAUAAUAAUACUGCAUUGGAAUUCAUUUAAGGGCUUCCUGCAAUACACUCAAAAGCUGUAAGUUCUAUCUCAUAAAUCUCUCUCUUUUAUUUUCAGAAUUAAUUUUGCACAUCUUGAUGUAAAAGAAAAAAAUGUAAAAAUUGAAAGAAAUCUUUGAAUGUUAAUUUCGUACAAACUCUCUGCUUUCUUUUAGAGGCUAUAAUCAAGAUUUGCUUAAGCAGAGAUUGGUGUGCACACUCCCCGAUUAGCAUCUAGAAAAAAUUUAUAUUACAUUUUGGGGUUUAUCAUGUGUAAAGAAUUUAGAUCUAUUUUAAUCAGCAUAAACAAAUUAAAACGGUAGAUAUAUUAAUUUUUCUAAUUAAUUAAUCCUGAAAUUACUGUUCACGGAUUACUGUUUAUACAAUAUUGUUCAUGCAAUACUAUUUAGACUCACUAUUCAUACGAGUUACUGUGUAGGUUGUCAAAAAAAGUAGAAUUUAUAUAUAAUUUAUAAAAUUUUCAUUUUUGUGAUGCCCAUAAUUUUGAAUGAAUCUUAUUGUUUGCAUAGUAUUGUGCGUUCACUGGAUUUCACUUGAUUUAUUCUAAAUUUUCAGGAACAAAUUAAUAUAAUGGCUUUCACGAGCUGCCAAGAUGUCUCUCAUAGGAAAUACGAUGCCUUCUUAAGCUUUAGAGGAGAAGACACCCGUCAAACGUUCAUAAGUCAUCUCUAUACUGCUUUGAACGAUAAAGGAAUUUAUGUAUUCAGGGAUGACAAACAACUUGAGAAAGGAGGAUCCAUUUCACCAAAUCUCCUUAAAGCAAUUGAAGAAUCAAGAAUUUCAAUUAUUGUUCUCUCAAGAAACUAUGCUUCUUCCACUUGGUGCUUGGAUGAACUUGUCAAGAUUGUUGAAUACAAAGAUAGAGAGGAUCAAAUUUUUCCAAUUUUCUAUGAUGUGGAACCAACUGUUGUAAGGAAACAGACAACAAGUUUUGGAGAAGCUUUUACCAAACACGAAGAAUUUUUCAGGGAUAAUAUAGAAAAAGUACAAAAGUGGAGACACGCUUUAAAAGUGGUGGCCAAUAAAUCAGGUUGGGAAUUGAAGGACAGGUAAUCAUUCUUAUUCUCAAAUAUUAUUAUUAUUAUUAUUAUUUUGUUCUGCAUGAUUAGUAUUCAUGAUUCAACAUUGUUUUCAAUUUAACAGCUUCUGUUUAAUAUGUAUAUAUAUCAUAUGAUGUGUCGUUAUUAAAGUAGUAGUGCUAUAAAUGCAUUAAUAUUUGCAAAUGAAUAGAUAUGGAUGUUGAUACUAUAAAUUAUUGUGUUCUGAACUAUUGAAGACUAUACAUAUGUAUCUUGUGUUGCUUUGUGCUCUAUUAAUCACAUCUAAAAAAUAAAAAUAAAACAUUACUCUUAGAUUGACUCUUUAGUAACUGUUAAUAAUAACAAUGACAAUAAUCGCAAGCCCAAUGAUACCAUCAAUAUCAUUACAUAUUUAGCUAAUUGUAGUGCUACACAUCUCAAAUUUUUUAUUUCAAAAAACCAUCCCAAAAUGAUGUGACGUCCAUCAAUUAGUUCUUGAAAUAAUAUAAUUAACUCACUCGAAUCUUCUAAAGAAUUAUCAACCACUUAUUAAAUGACACAUCAUUUGGGACAUUUAUCAUCAUCAUCUAAUUGAUUUCAUGUGAGCAAUAAUUGUUCUUAUAAAAAAUUGAUAUAAAUUCUCUUUUAAUCUAAUUUAUCCUCCUACAGAAAGAAAUAAUAUGUACAUGAGAAGAAAACAGCAAAAGAAAUUGAAUUUUCUCAUUCUUGUUGUUUCUAACCCACGCGAUAAUAUAUGUUACUUGCUUAUACGACUUCAAUUUGAUGAAAUGAAUAUUAUAUAGUUUGGAUUGUAUGCAUAAUAUGGAAUUGAUUUGUUACUAUGUUUACACAAACUUUAAUUUAACAACAGUAAUCUUCUCUUGUUGUUUUCAAUUUGCAGCAAUGAGUCAGAAUUUAUUGAGGAAAUUGUCAAUGUGAUAUCAAGUAAAAUUCGUACAGAGUCAGAGAUUCUUAAGGAGCUAGUAGGAAUAGAAUCACGCUUGGAGAAACUGAAGUUUCUUAUGGGUGCAGGGUGCAAUGAUGUUCGUAUGAUAGGGAUAUGGGGUAUGGGAGGUCUAGGAAAGACAACUCUUGCAAGAGUUGUUUAUGACUUGAUCUCCCACGAGUUUGAUGGUAGUAGUUUUCUUGCUGAUGUUAAAGAAAAAUAUGAUAAAGAAGGCAGUGUAAUCUCUUUGCAAAAGCAGCUCAUUUCUGAUUUACUGAAGCUUGCGGAUAAUAACAUACGAAAUGUCUAUGACGGUAUUAACAUGAUAGGACGUAGGUUGCGACAAAAAAAGGUCCUUCUCGUGAUCGAUGAUGUCGCUCAUGUUGAGCAACUACGAAGAUUAGCUGGAAAGCGCGAUUGGUUUGGCCCGGGCAGCAGAAUCAUAAUAACAACGAGGGAUGAACAUUUGUUGAAGUUGCAUCGAGUCGAGGAAGUUUUUAAGCUUGAGGCACUAACUUAUGAUGAGGCAUUCCAACUCUUUUGUUUGAAAGCUUUUGAAACCCAGAAGCCCAGGGAAGAAUAUGUUCAUCUAUCUCAACUUGUUGUAAAUUAUGCUGGUGGUCUUCCAUUAGCUCUCAAGGUUUUGGGUUCUUUUUUGUUUGGUAGACCUGUGGACGAGUGGACAAGUACCUUGGAAAGACUAAAAAGAGAACCUGAAAAUGAGAUUCUAGAUAUACUCCAGAUAAGUUUUGAUGGCUUGAAGGAAGCAGAGAAGGAAAUAUUUCUCGAUGUUGCGUGUUUCUUUAAAGGGGAGAAGAGAGAUUACGUGUCAAAAAUUCUCGAUAGCUGUGGUUUUGAACCGGUAAUUGGCAUUGGUAUUCUUAUUGAAAAAUCUCUAUUAACAAUAUGUGAGAGCGACAGACUAUGGAUGCAUGAUUUGUUACUAGAAAUGGGUCGACAAAUUGUUAGGAGGCAGUCCCCACGGGAGCCUGGAAAACGCAGCAGAUUGUGGGAGGAAGCAGACCUAUGCCAUGUAUUGUCACAAAACACAGUAAGUGACUAAUAAAGGGGAUCGGAAAAUUUUUUUUCUUUUACCCAGUAAAAUCUCUAAUGAACUAUUUUGUUGAUAAUAUUUAGGGAACUGAAGUAGUUGAAGGAAUAAUACUUGAUGAUUAUUACUUUCUCCAAGAUAAGGUUUAUUUAAGUGCUAGUCCGAAAGCAUUUUCAAAGAUGACCAACCUACGAUUGCUCAAAAUCUGUGGUCUGCAACUUCCUCAAGGCCUUGAACACCUCUCUAACAAGUUGCGGUUACUUGAUUGGCAUGGAUAUCCUUGGAAAUCUUUGCCAUCAAAUUUGGAAUUGGAUAAAACUGUGGAGUUUAAAAUGUGUUACAGCUGCAUUGAAGAAUUAUGGAAAGGAAUCAAAGUAAGAUCAAUGUUUUGUCACUAAUUUUUUUUUUUAGUGAAUAAUUGUUGAUGACAAUUUUAUUAUUAUAGCUGUAUAUAAAUUAAGAAAUAUCAUUUCAGCUCCUUUUUGUUUUCAACAGCCUUUAAACAUGUUGAAAGUCAUGGAACUCAGCCAUUCAGAGAAUCUGAUUAAGACUCCAGACUUCACAGAGGUCCCAAAUUUGGAGGAGUUGGAUGUUGAAGGAUGUACAAGGUUGCGUGAGAUUCACCCAUCUUUACUGCUUCACAAUAAGCUGAUUUUGUUGAACUUGAAAGGUUGUACAAGUCUUACAACUCUUCCGGGAAAGAUUUUUAUGAAAUCGCUUAAAACACUUGUUCUUUCUGGUUGCUUGAAAUUGAGGAAAUUUCCACACGUUGCGGGAAGUAUGGAGUGUCUGCGGGAACUUCUUUUGGAUGGAACUGAUAUCAAAGAACUGCCACUAUCAAUUGAACUUCUAUCUGGACUUGUUCAGUUGACUUUGAAUGACUGCAAAAGUCUCGUGAGACUUCCCAGCAAUAUAAACGGUUUGAAAUCACUAAAAACUUUGAAUCUCUCUGGCUGCUCCAAACUUGAAAAUGUGCC